CGCGGCACAUUAAUAUCUCUAUGUAAUCCCGACGUGUGGGCCUUUCUUCUGUAUUUCCUGAUAACCCCCUGCAGAAAUAGACAAACACCAAAACUCGUGGAAUUCUGUCAGAUAAAACCCUAAGUCUAGAUGUUGAUUUCAUUUGGAUCCUUUUCUUUGUUUAUUUGAUAAUUAAAUUUGGUACUUAAGGAACGUCAACAAACUCCCCCAAGCUUACCUCUUGCUCGUCCCUGAGCAAGGAUAGACUCAGCAAUGGAUCAGAAGUUGUUGCAAUAUCUUAAAAAUUUGACGGUACACAUGCUUUUAAAUAGGAUCUCAUCUCUGAGUUAGAGUAAACUGUCAAGAACUAAAACUUACUUACUUUACCUUUCACCAUGGGACUUGUAACCGUCACUUCUGUCUUGAGUAGUUAAAAGAUAGAACAGUCUAGCCAAGUGCCAUGUCUCUUAUUCUUGAUCAGCUAUAGCUCUGGAGUUUUUGCAGAUUUUCAAAUAAAACUCAGUGAUUCCUUGUAUGACUCUCUAAAUCUCUCUUUUGUGGUAUUUCUGGAUCCUUACCAAGGCAGUGAUGGUAUAUGCCUUCUCUCAAGAUAUGUGGUAUUUGUGGUAUAAGGCAUAGUGACAUUGCCUUCUCUCUCACCCCACUCUAAUAAGGCUUUAAUAUCUGGAGCUCAUAGGUAGGAGAUAAAGUAUACAUACUUACAAGACAUUUAUUGUAUAGUCAAACCAUGGAUCCAAAGAAACAAAUCAAUAAGCCAAGUCAAGAUGUGCAUGUGUGGCGAAUGAAUGGUGUAUGGUGAUGAUGGUGAUAACAAUGGUGAAAGUCUAAUUCUACUUUUGCUCUUUUGAGGGGAUACAUACCUUCCUUGCUUUUUGAAACUUUAUGAGGAGAAUGAGAUGCUCUUCUUUUUCUUUCCUCUCAGGUGGGUAUCUUGUACCCCUAAUUCUACUGUCGGACACUUGUCCAUUUUUACCUCUCGUCUCACUUUUUCUUUCUUUCGAGGUUCCAUGCACUUGCCCGUUUUUAUUUCCUCAUAUAUUUUUUUUCUCUUCUUCUUUUUUUUUGUUCAGAGCAUUCAUCUCUUGAGAUAAUAUAGCAAGUCGUAGUAGCAAGAUAACUUGAGCAUUUAUUUCACAAGGGAAAACAGAAAUAUUUUUGGCUAUUCUCUCUCGGAUUAGGAGUAGAAUAUUUUUGGGUGGUUCUGGAGAUGGACAUGGAUGGAUAUAUGUGGAUGGUACUUCCGGAGUAGAAGUAGCAUAUAUGAGUGAACGUGCAAGUGAAUCUUGAUUUAACCACAUGACAAGCUCCUAAGGGUCUACACAGCUUGACCACACUCAAUGCUCAUAAGCAGUAAAUAGUAAAUGUGUGGCUCAAAGUCUAGCAAGCAUGUAUAUAUGGCUGUGGUAGGAAUUUAAACUCUCAUCAUAUAGGAACUCAUCAUGCAAUAUUUUAAAGGUUUUCAAAGAUAAAAUUCUCCAGAAUUCUAGCAUCUCUAGGAACAGAUAAACAGCAGCUCAACCUUCCCAUAUCAUAUCCGUUAACAACUUAGAUUUCAGAUCAAGUUUUCAUCCCACAAGUUUAGAUCUAGAGCAAGCUUUAAAUUAUAACAGUUAUGUCUAAACUUGAGAGAGAACUUCAAAUUUGCAAAUUAGGCAGAGCAACUAUUUAUCAUAUCCAUGCUAGAGUUUUAUUAUUAAGAUUCAGAUUAGCAUAGCCAUUUUAUUUAUUUAUUAAACACACUAAGCAAAAUAUAUAUAUAAGCACAAAAUCUUUAUUUGGUUUUUCAUAGUUUAUGUAUUUUAAUAUUCUAACAUAAUAUAAAUAUAAAGAUAGGUAGAAAUACUUAGCGUGAUAAAUGGGGGUGCUCUCCCCCAAGCUAAAUUUUGAUGUAAUUUCUCUUGAUGUAGCUAGCAGGUGGCAGAGGUGUAUUUGAAAGUCAGCAGCAUUCUGACAGCGAUUAGAAUGUCCUCCAUCUGCUAGUCUUCUUAUUCUUAAAUUCUGUGGAGCUCAAAUAGACAACAAAGCUUGUGGAACUAAUUAAGUGUUAGCAUAAAUAUCUAGCCUUCAUCAUAUUGAGCUUCCUCAAUAAAUAUUACUCCCUGUUUUUAUAUUUUUAUUUUAUAAAGCAGAAAAGAAAUAUUUAUUUUAUUUUUAUGCCACCACAGUGAUGGUACUUAUGGGUUUUAUGCCACUCGUAUACUCACAUGGGGCUUAGUAUUUUUUAACAUUUUUAUUUUCUUUUCAAGAUAGCAUGAUUAACUAAUAAUCUAUUUAAAGAAAGUAAAUAAUUAAAGGGAAAAGGGAAUGCAGAAAGGAUAAAUAUAGAUAACUACCGAUCUUACCUUUCGGCAAGACUUCUCACCGUGUUCAUUCUUCAGGUGCGUCAUUUGAUUCAGGUGCGGACCUUGACGUCUGCACCUCUUCGUUUGCCCAUCAGUUCGAAGUACGGCGUUGGCAGUAUCCUGCUCAGUGUGUUUGUGCUCGUAGAUCCAGGUCCUUCACUUGAUAGAGUCUGAGAGUUAUAAAACUCCUCCAUGUUUUGCUCGAAGUGUACCUGCUCAUAGAGACAAGGCAGAGAUCAAGUGCAUGGGUCCUGUUGGUGGAAAACACCAACAGAACCUAAAGUGUAUUUGUUCUUCUCUAACCCUAAGCAUAGUGAGCAAGACAAAGUUGAUGGAUGAAAAGUUCAUGAGUGUAGCACUUAUAACAUUUGUCAGAUCAGAUCGCUCAACCCUAUGGACAGAUAAUCUAUCUAUGUAUAUGUCUUUUUCUUUAUAUCUCUUAAUGAUUGAAUGUGUAACAUUUUAGCUCAUAUGAUUAGGAGUGUGGGAUCAUGGAGGUAGUACUAAGAACAAGGAUUAAAGGACUAAACAUGUUGAAUCAGUUGGGUUGGUUAAUCUAGAGUUGUAAAUCAUACAUGUUUGUCUCUUUUAUUUAUAUGAACGCCAGAACCAAGGAGAAGCUUAUAAAAGUGAUAGUCAAGUACCUUAAGAUGUUACCUUGCUUGAAGAGUGAUGGUACAGUAUCACCUUGUGGAAGCUUUCCUUUCUUAGCGGUUGUGCAUCGUGUUUGUGGCACCCUCCAUGGAUCAUCUCUCUAUGAUGAAUGAGCUAUGUCCUUCUUGUGCAAAUUGUUAAACUUCAUAUGUCACUCUCUUCGUCUCUGAUGUGAGUUUAUCUCAAGACUUCCCAAAUCGAUAUUGAAAGUUUUUCUGCAGGGGUUAGUCCGACAAAAAUAUACCAAUGUCUACACAAGCAGUUUUUAGUUCAAUAACCGAACUAGACUCCAUGUCUAAUCAGAUUAAGGAAGGCUGUUUAACCUAAGCACCAUGCUUAAUUUAAAAGCCAAUAGAGGUAUGUGCAGUACUUCCAAACUAACACUUACUAGUAAAUAGACAAUGGUAACAUGACAGCAUUUAUAGAGAUCUACUCAAGUGGAGAUGAAGUAGUGUGAUUAGUAUUUAACAAAUUGAGCAUGUCUUAAAGGUAGGGACAACCAACAUAGCAACAUGGCAAAGGAUGUUUUUAUGUAAAGUACUCCCCCAAGCUUGAAUUUUGCUGAAUUCAAGUUUGGAUGAAUUUAAUUCAGUGUUGCAUGAUGAUUGGUUGGACAUACCUUGUACUUGCUUGUCAUUCAUCUGAUCUUCUUGUUCCAAUCCUGGAAAGGUUAGUGACAAGAAUACCCGAAGGAAUAUUUUUACAAUUAUCCUUAUAUGCUCAAUACACAAGGUAAUGUUGCAAAUAAUUAAAAACUCAUGUUAUGAUCUGAUCAGUGCUUAUUUUAGGACACCAAGCUUGUCCUUGGGAAACCAUCAAUUUAUGUCGGCGAAGUGGUUUCCCUUCCAACGCUGACCUAAAUCAAGAUCAACUCAAUGAGAUCUGCAAUAUUUAUUAUAGACAUAUGCAUCGACAACCGCCCUUUUAAAGUUUUUAUAAAUAGAAAGGAAGAGGGGGUUGGAGAUCUCAAAUGUGGUGAUGUUGGAGAGACCAAUAGAUUGGGAAGAUGUUGCAUAUGAGCAUGGAGUAAACAAAGUGGCUAUGAAAUAAAUUCCAUGCUCAUUAAUGUUAUCUUCGUCUCCAAUCUGAAUGUUCAGAGUUUAUCUUGGAUUGGUCUCACUUAUGUCCUCUUCUAUAGUUGGAUGAAUCCCAUCUUCAAAGGGAGUCAAGAGCUCACCAUUUGAAAUUGAACCAAAGUCAGAAUUCAUUAAGGCUUCUUCCUUAUCCAUCCAUUCUACACAUUCUAGCCAUUUAGAACUUGUGAUCAGGAAAGGGGAGGUGUUAGAAUUUUCAAUAUGGCUUAGCUCUCCUUCACUUGAUAUGUCAUCCUCGACUUCUUCAUAACACGAACCAGUACAUUCUCUAAGAGAACCAUUAUUGCGAGGAUUUGAAUUAUCCCUGCUUGAAGGUCUCUUAUGGAACAAGAAGUCUAAACCAUCAGCAUCUGAAAGAUUUAAGGUCGGAAUUCCUUCCUCCCUUAGAGAAUUUUGUGGUAUUGAUGGUUUAGGAUCGAUAGCUAAAGUUUGGAAUUGAAGUGAUUGUGAUCUGGCUAUCGAAACUUCUUCUUGUCUAGGAACUGGUUCUGUCUCUUUCUCAGGGAUAUAAAAGCUAGGAGACUUUCCACUUAAUAAAUCAAUCAAAUUCCAAGCUUCACUAGCAGGUAGGUGAUAGAAGGAUCCUCUAGAGGCUGUAUUCAAGGUUUGCUUAUUUUCCCUACUAAGGCCCUCAAAAAAGUGAAUUAGAAGAACUUCUUCUGGAAUAGAAAGCUUUGGGCCAGUGAGAUUAAGGUUAAUAAAGCGGUCCCAUGAUUUCCUAAGAGAUUCUUCUUCCAGUUCUCGAAAAGAAAUAAUCUCACGCCGAAGUUCCGCCACUUUGGAGAUUGGAAAAUAUUUAGAAAGAAAACUACUAUAUAACUCCUUCCAAUCUCCAUGAACACUCCCUACUUUGAGUUUGUACCAAUGUCUAGCUUUUCCCGUUAAAGAGAACGGAAAGAGCUUCCAUUUAAGGGUCUCAUCGGACAUGCCUUCUAUGCGAAGGAGGUCACAGACUCGAUAAAACUCUCUUAGGUGUGUGUAUGGGUUUUCCUCACCUUCUCCUGAGAAAGGUUGUUUUUGAACAAAUUCUAUGUAUUCGGGGUCUAUCUCAAAACUAGAUGCUAUGAUAGGCUUUGAAGAUUUUGGUGGUUCGAGAUGUGUGCCCGUAGGUCUAUGAAAUUCAUAGAUAGACAUGUUUGAAUUCAUGAUAGACCAGAGAUCAAGGAUUAGAUAAGUAGAAAGAUUAGCAGAGAUGAGGCAAAGGAUAAAAGGAAAAUAUAUACUUUUUUUAUUUUAUUUUUUUUAGAAAAUGAUUAAGCUAGUUCGUAGUCAACUCAGCAACCGUUUGCCCGGCAACGGCGCCAAAAAUGCUUGUUGACACUUGCUAACACCACUUGAAUACUAGGUUGUCUUCCCCAGCAUGGCACUAGAGUGUACUAUGGUAUUUAUACGCACACAGAUAAUCCACAAGCGCACGGAUACCGUUGAGGCUUUUACCCGGUUAAAGGUUUUAUCGUAUCCAUAGGGAAACGGGAGAACCAACUGCGCUCUAACUAAACCAAGAUAGAUAGAUAGGUGUGAAUAGGAAAUAUGGUAAAAUUGAAUAAGAACAAUAUUAAAGGUAAGAUAACAAUGGGUGAUAAUAUGGGAAUAGAGAGUAGAGUACUUCUAGUAUAUGGGCGAUGGUAGCAGAAUAGAGAGGAUAACUACGGUUUCUUAACUUCAUGUCUAUGUCUGGGAUGAACCACGUGAUAAGAUUACACCACAAAGGAUGCUUAUCCAUAGGCCGAUAAACCCUACCCGUUCUGCUAACGAGAGGUGGACUAUAGAGGACCAACGUAACUGUCACCUACACGGCCUACCACACGAUCCAGCUAGACAGGGGAUAUCCACAAGUAAUCUAGGUCUAAGCACCACGCUUACACCUAUACUACAACUCUAACCUAUAGCGUCCUAUAGAUUAAAGUACUCAAAAGAGUUGUGAACCAGAACAUACAUGAUUAGUAAUUGCAUAAUGAAUUAGAAGUAGAUUACCAGAGUCAUCCCAUGAGCAAGCUUGAUUAGAGCUUGAUCAUGACGAAGUACAACUGGAGGAAGAACCGACAGGCCGGCCUCUCCUCUAAUCCUCCUUCGCUCUCCAUCUCGCUACUAUCUAGUCUACUCUAGUUUAGAGAAGAGAGGAGAGCUUUCAUCUCUAAACCCUAGCUUUUGCUCUAUCUAUGAAUAAUGAAUAAUGAUCAUGGGGUGCCUCCUCCAGGGGCCAGGGGGUCUGGUUAUAUAGUCCCCUCAAGUGAACCUGGGCCGUCGGAUCAAACCGACAUUGAUUGAACGGUUAUUCUUGAUCCUUUAGGUCGGUGGAGAUCUCCCGAGAGAAAGAGUCCUGAUUGGGCUCCAAGUCAGGGCGGGCGCCCAGGGCAGGAGGGCGGGCGCCCUGCCUCUGGCCCCGUUCGGCCUCCGCUUCCUUCUCGUGGCUUCUGGAGUCUUCUAGAUGUAAGAUAAUUGCGCGGCACGUUAAUAUCUCUAUGUAAUCCCGACGUGUGGGCCUUUCUUUCAUAUUUCCUGAUAACCCCCUGCAGAAAUAGACAAACACCAAAACUCGUGGAAUUCUGUCAGAUAAAACCCUAAGUCUAGAUGUUGAUUUCAUUUGGAUCCUUUUCUUUGUUUAUUUGAUAAUUAAAUUUGAUACUUAAGGACCGUCAACAGGGUGGAGAGGCCUUGGUUAUAUAGUCUUUUCAAGUGAAUUUAGGCCGUCAGGUCAAACCGACAUUGAUUGUGUGGUUUAGAUUGAUCCUUUAGGUCGAUGGAGUUUAGCCCCGAAGCAGAGUCCCGAUUGGACUCCAACCCUGGGCGGGCGCCCAUGGGGGGUGGGCGGCCGCCCUGCCCCCGAGCCUGAUCGUGUUCUCGUUCGUUCCCAUGGCUUCUGGACUCUUCUAGAUUGAGGAAAAUUGCACGGCACGUAAUUAUCUUGUUGUAAACAUGACAUGUGGGCCUUCUCUCCAUAUUCUCUGAUAACCCCUUGCAGAAAUAGAUAAACACCAAAGCUCGUGGAAUUCUAUCAGAUAAAACCCUAAUUCUAGAUGUUUGUUUCAUAUUGAUCCUUUUCCAUGUUUAUUUGAUUAUUAAUUUUAGUACUUAAGGACCGUCAACACCCACUGCCUAGAAUAGAUGACUUAUUUGACCAACUGAAAGGAGCAUGUGUGUUCUCCAAAAUUGACCUCCGAUCUGGCUACCACCAGUUGAAAAUCCGUGCAACUGACAUACCUAAGAUAGCUUUUACCACAAGGUAUGGCUUGUAUGAGUAUACAGUCAUGUCAUUUGGGCUGACCAAUGCACCUGCAUACUUCAUGUAUAUGAUGAACAAGGUGUUCAUGGAGUAUUUGGAUAAGUUCGUGCUAGUAUUCAUUGAUGAUAUAUUAAUCUUCUCCAAAACAAAAGAAGAACAUGCUGAACAUUUGAGACUGGUCUUGCAAAAGCUUAGAGAGAAUAAAUUGUAUGCCAAGAAAAGCAAGUGUGAGUUUUGGUUGGAUGAGGUCUCAUUUUUGGGACAUGUGUUCUCCAAUGGUGGAAUAGCUGUAGACCCUAGCAAAGUGCAAGAUGUGCUAAAUUGGAAGCCUCCAACCAAUGCUAGUGAGAUCCGUAGCUUUCUAGGACUAGCUGGGUAUUAUAGAAGAUUUAUUGAAGGCUUCUCUAAGUUAGCAAAGCCCAUGACAGCCCUAAUAGAGAAGAGUUUCCAAGUUUAUUUGGUCAGAUAAGUGCCAAGAAAAUUUUGAGGAGCUAAAGAAAAGGUUGACCACAGCCCCAGUGUUGACCUUACCAGAUCUGAGUAAAACCUUAUCUAUUUAUUGCGAUGCAUCUCGCCUAGGCCUUCGAUGUGUGCUUAUGCAGGAAGGAAGAGUAAUGGCCUAUGCAUCCAGGCAGUUGAGAAAACAUGAGCUGAACUAUCCUACUCAUGAUUUGGAGCUAGCUGCCGUGGUUCAUGCUCUAAAGAUUUGGAGGCAUUAUUUAAUUGGACACAAGUGUGAUAUUUAUACGGACACAAAAGUUUGAAGUAUAUUUUCACACAGUCGGAACUGAACCUAAGGGAACGCCGCUGGCUAGAAUUAAUAAAGGAUUAUGACCUAGAAGUGCAUUACCAUCCUGUCGACGAAAGCUGGUCGGCAGUCUACCUUGGGGUAUACCCACUGUAGUAGUUUAUCGGUAGACGGUGCGCAAACUACGAACUCGAUGGUGACGCAAGACACGGACAAGCUUUUUAUCCAGGUUCGGCCGCCGAGCUGGGGUAACACCUACGUCCUGCGUCUUGUUGUAUUGAUUUGUGUUGAGAGAAUAAUGUGUCCAAGGGGGGUCCCUCGCCUCUCCUUAUAUAGUCCGGAGGGCAGGGUUACAGAUCUAGAAACUAAUCCUAGUCGGUUACAAUUGCCAUAGAUAGUUUGAUAUCAAUUCCUAUUCUAACCAACUAGAAUCCUGCUUGAUCUCCACAUCUUGUUUCAUUGCGCAAAACUCCAAGUGGUCGGAUCAAGCCUCGAACUUGUCUCGUAAUGGGCCAAGCCUCCUGGCCCAAGUCUAGCCAUAAGGGUAUAGGGGUUUAUACCCCCACAGCUCGUCCCCGAGCACUAUGUAUUGUGAAGUAACACGCCAUCUCGAGCUUCUUCGACCAAUGAAACUUUACGCCUUCAAUAAGCAAGAAAGUUGCCUAAACAGUCGUAAUGACAUUUUGACCAACUUCAAAGAUAGUUGACCAACAUUGGCAUCGAAGAAGCAGGCUGAUCGAAGAAUGCAUGGUGCUCUAAAUCAAAAAAGAUUUCUUUCCUGGCGAAGUGUGCCCACUUUACUUUUCUGAAAAGUAUAGCCUUUCAAAAAGCAAGCAUUUUCACCGCAAGGUGAAAUGUGCCCACUUAGUCCCCGAGCCUCGUAGUAGGUGACGUAGGCACGUGGUGCCAGGGUCAAAAGAAAAAAUCCUCAAAGAAACUUUGAACUGAAAUGCAUCGCCAGAUGCAUCGUACCGAUGUAGUCCCCGAGCUUGCUGGAAGGCGAAGUGUGAGCCUUGUAGCAAGGUCUAAAAAAUUCAAGUUAUCCGGUCCCCGAGCAUCUCGUGCUCAUUUUCCAUCGGUUAGACUCAUCAACCAGUCCCCGAGCGUGUAGUGCUUGGUGGUUGGUGCAGUACCUAGAUUUCCAAACUGGCACACUGAUCGACCAGUCCCUGAGCAUACAACGCUCGGUGGUCGGUGCAGUCCCCAGAUCUCCAAGCUGGCAGACUGGGCGACCAGUCCCCGAGCAUACAGUGCUCGGUGGUCGGUGCAGUCCCCAGAUUUUCAUACAUGAAAAAUGGACGACCAGUCCCCGAGCCUACAGUGCUCGGUGGUCGGUGUAGUUCCCAGGAACGUUUGAUCCACCACCAAUUUUUGUCUGUUAUUUUGAAAAACGUAUCAUCUCAUAAAUGGGUGAUGUGAUGAGACCUCCUGACGCGCUGUCAGAUGGUUGCGUGAAAAGGUGCGCCCGGUAACUGUGUAGCCGCCCUUUGCGCGGUUUGAGAAAAGGAAACCAUCAAUUAUACGAAAAGGCCGCCGUAUUAACUGCCGAUAAUUAUUGAAAACCGAAGCGCCGCGUCCGCCGUUGGGCCCGCCCACUUCCCAAGAAUGCAGGAAGUGGGAGGGGUGGAGUUGUGGUUUAUAAAAGCCUGACAGUACCCCCGUAUUGCUUAUCCUGCCAUCGCCUUCAAGCUUUCCGCUCUUGCCUUCUACAACCACCUGCAAUCCACCCAGCUCGCAGUCACUCCUGCAACGUCAAUGGUGAAGAGCGACUCUAAGAAGAGGGCCGAGCUGAUGGCCAAGGAAUGGAAAAAGUCCCGAAGCAGUAUGAAGUCCCUCAAUGACCUCGUCGACAUGGGGCUACUGCACAGCCCAGAGCUCGGCGGCUGGAGGGCGCCAGAAGGGGAGAGCUACCUCGAUCCCCGUGUCGGUGAGAUCGUAGUGUUCGAAGAUUUUCUCAAGAGGGGUUUUGGGGUUCCUGUCCAUCCUUUUCUCCAGGGGCUUCUUCUAUACUAUGAGAUCGGGAUCUGCAAUCUGCACCCGAACUCAAUUCUUCUCAUUUCCACUUUCAUCCAUCUGUGCGAGGCCUAUGUUGGGAUAGAGCCGCACUUCGAUCUUUUUCGUUAUCUUUUCUGUUUGAGGAAAAAGGGAGCGGUUGGAGGCUCCAAGAUUGCAGGUGGAGUAUACCUCAAUCUUCGCGACGGGAUGAAGAACCGGUAUCUAAACUGCCCAUGGAACACUUCUCUCACCGAAUGGUACAAGAAGUGGUUCUAUGUCAGGGAAGAGCCGGGCAGCUCCACGUUCUGUGACGUGGGGUACAUCCCCAAGAAGAUGGUUAGUUGGACCGACCGCCCAGAGUUCGCCGGUCAAGUAGCGGACCUGAUGAAGCUGAUCGACUGGUCGUGUUUGGACGGGCUGGGAGUGGUCGGCAACUUCGUCUGUCGUCGGGUGAUGCCCUGCCAGAAGAGGGUGCACUCGGCGUACGAGUACGCUGGGAGCCAGGACCCGACCAGGAUGAGGCCUGAGGUCUUGGAGAAGGCGGAAGUGCAGCAGCUGUUGAACGAACUGUUCAACUUUGCGGACGGCAGCUUCAUCCGUGGUAGUGAUCGGGUGCAGGCCUUCAAGCUGGGGCAACCAGCUCCUAAGGUAACGUUACUGACUGAUUGUACCUCCUUAGUUCUUGUUCUGCCUAGUUGCUGACUUGUCUCUGUUACUGUUGUAGAUCGGAGACGUUGACCGGUGCACAGUGUACGUAUCACUGGCACGUGGGAUGGAGAAUCCCGCGGGGGAAGAUCCGCCAGAGGACGACACAGCUCGGUGUACCCGGUACACCAGCAGUGAGAAGGAGCAGACCCACCCCGCCCCGACCACCGAGGACAGGGUGGUGGGGAAAAGGCCGAUGGCAGCAGACCCCUCCCCCGCAGAGGCGCUACCGGCGGAGAGCAGUCAGGCGCCAAAGCGCUGUCGACACGUCCGGAUCACCGAUGACGACGACAACGAGGAGGAGGCCGCACCUUCUCUGGUCCGGAGACCGCGCAGUCGACCGGACGCAGCACCGGCCACCACUGAUCCGGUGGCCAGCGACCCUCCUGCACCGCGCGUCGCAGAGACGGGAGCACAGGCGCCAACCGGUAGGACCAGGAGGAGGUUCACCGCAACACACCGGCGAUCUGACCUGUAAGUGUUUAACUUUCGUGCUGCGACGUUUUGUUUUUUCUUGCUGUUUCUAACAUUGUUUAAAUGUCGUUCGGUUGUUUAGCGUGGCGUCGAACGUCAACCCCGACCAGGUCGCUGGACAGAGGACGGCCGAGCCUGUCGCCGCCGUUGGAGACGCCGCGCCGCAAGCCACGGAGCAGCCUGCGGCGGCGACCGCUGCUACGAGCGCCGAGGAGCAACCGGCUCCGGCGAGUGCCACGGCGAGCACCCCGACAAGGGAUGAAGAGGCAGCGAGGACCCCUCCCCCAAGUAAUGUUGUGGGGGAGGAAGACAGAGUCCUGACUCCUCUAGCCGGAGAAGGGAGAGUCCCAACGCCGCCCCGAGCAGGGGCGUCUUCGCCCGUAGGCUCCCUUGGCCUGGACCAGGGGCCAGUGAUGCCCGCUACCGCGGCCGGAGGCAGUGCGGCGAACGAGGAGCCCCAGGCGGCCUCUGACGAUGAUGUGGAGGAGAUCUAGGGUCGUCCCCGUUGAUGUGAACUAGGGUUCCUGAUCUUCCGAAAGGUUCUGAUAACUCUCGAUUUGGUGGAGUCGCGACACAAUUCGAUCCGGCUUCCGAACAAUUCGGUCCUGAAACCCCGCAAUCGCAGCACCACGUCUCCUCUGGUUAUCGACCGUCGAUGCACGGUCGACCUCGCCAAGAAGGCUGAGUCCUUUGCCUGCAAAUCGAAGAACACAAGCAAGAACAAGAAAGAAUGCAACCAAAUUGCAGAUGAAUGAUUAAUCUCACGAGCUGGGGUCUCACAAACCGACGCGGCGGCGAAACUGUUCUUGACAGAAUAAUUUAAGCAAAACCCAAAACCUAACGAGAGUGGCGGCGGCUGGUUAUAGAGGUCUAAGGGUCGUCGCCACCCCUGGAUGCGCCCCCCUAAUGGGCUCAACGACGAUACACGGCCCAACAGACCAAAAACGGUGACGCAGCACUGGAACAGAUUCUGGAUGCUGACUUGUUUUGACGUUUCCCGAUGACUCAGAAGGAAUUUGGACCUAAAACCAAUGCCAUUGGUUUCCUAAUGAAAUUAUCUUUCCAACCAUGGGUGGAUCGUCGAAAACGGAGUCCGGAUGCCUCCUGGGCGUCCGUUUUACUCCUCGCUAGUCCUGGACUCCGAAACAGGCUCGAAGUCGACUUGGUUUGGGCCUCCACCUUGACUUGGGCGCCCUUGCUGGUCCUCCACGCCUCCAAGCCCUCCCUUAUGCAUCCCCUGGUCCUCUCCAUGAUUCCUAAGCACAAUAUAAUCAUUAGGUAGCAAUCUAUUCUCAAAAUCAUAUAAAGACUUGCUUAGGAACGAGCUAACCUGUAAAUUUAGUUGUCGCGCGCGAGCUCUUGUGAUUGGACCUUGAAAAUCCAGCGUAGGAUCAUCGUGUGCAUCCGAAGGAGUGAUGUCCUCAUCAUCCUCCCCCUCUUGAACUGGAGUCGUCCUCGACUCAAGGUCAUCUUCUUCUCCCAAAUAUGGCUUCAAAUCUGAAAUGUUGAAAGAAGGACUAACCCCGAACUCGGGUGGCAACUCAAGUUUGUAUGCAUUGUCAUUUAUUUUCUCAAUAAUUUUAUAAGGACCAGCAGCUCUUGGCAUUAAUUUUGACUUACGCAACUCUAGAAACCUAUCUUUUCUCAAAUGUAACCAUACUAAAUCACUCGGUUCAAGUUUAACCUCUUUUCUACCUUCACUACCAGCAAUUCUAUACUUUUCAUUCAUCUUUUCAAUAUUUUCUUUAGUGGUUGCAUGCAACUUACGAACAAAUUCAGCACGUGCACUAGCAUCACUACGUGUUCUUUCAUUGGUAGGUAAAGGCAAAAGAUCAAUGGGAGCACAGGGGUUAAAACCAUACACUACCUGAAAAGGACUUACCUUCGUGGUAGAAUGUGUUGCCCGAUUGUAAGCAAACUCCACAUGAGGCAAACAUUCUUCCCACAUCUUCAAAUUUUUCUUCAAAACAGCUCUCAACAUGGUGCCCAAAGUACGGUUCACUACCUCCGUUUGUCCAUCGGUUUGUGGGUGACAAGUUGUUGAAAACAACAGUUUUGUACCCAACUUGUUCCAUAGAGUACGCCAAAAGUGACUCAAGAAUUUAGCAUCGCGAUCUGAAACAAUAGUAGAAGGCAUACCAUGCAAGCGAACAAUCUCUUUGAAAAAAAGGUCAGCAAUAUAAAUGGCAUCAUCACUUUUAUGACAUGGUAUAAAAUGUGCCAUCUUAGAGAAUCGAUCCACAACAACAAAAAUGCUAUCCCUCCCCCUCUUAGUCCUAGGCAAUCCCAAAACAAAGUCCAUCGAAAUAUCUGCCCAAGGAAUAGAAGGAACAGGAAGAGGCAUAUACAAACCAUGUGGAUUUAGGCGAGACUUAGCUUUUUGACAUGUGGUGCAGCGUGCCACGAACCGCUCAACGUCUCUCCUCAUCUGUGGCCAAAAGAAGUGUGUGGCCAAAAUAUCCGCCGUCUUCUUAGCACCAAAAUGGCCCAUCAGCCCUCCUCCGUGCGCUUCCUGCAACAACAACAGAUGGACGGAACCGACUGGAAUGCACAGACGGUUAGCUCUAAACACAAAUCCAUCAUUGAUCACAAACUUGUUCCAUGUACGACCCUCUUUACAAUUCAGCAACACAUCUUUAAAAUCAGGAUCAAACACAUAUUGUUCUUUUAUUGAUUCAAGCCCAAAAAUUCUACAAUCAAGUUGGGACAGUAAAGCAUAUCGUCGAGACAAAGCAUCAACAAUUAUAUUAUCCUUUCCUUUCUUGUGUUUGAUAAUAUAAGGAAAAGAUUCAAUAAAUUCAACCCACUUAGCAUGUCUACGAUUUAGAUUAUUUUGAGAUCGAAGAUACUUAAGCGAUUCAUGAUCUGAAUGUAUAACAAAUUCCUUAGGCCACAAAUAAUGACGCCAUGUCUCUAAAGAACGUACAAGUGCAUACAAUUCCUUAUCAUACGUUGAGUAAUUAAAAACAGGGCCAUGCAAUUUUUCGCUAAAGUAUGCAACGGGCUUACCUUCUUGCAUCAACACACCUCCAAUGCCAACGCCACUAGCAUCACAUUCUAGCUCAAAAGUCUUACCAAAGUUUGGAAGUUGUAGCAAUGGCGCGUGUGUAAGCUUGUCCUUCAAAGUGUCAAAGGACUCCUCUUGUGCCUUACCCCAUUUGAACACCACACCUUUCUUUGUCAACUCGUGCAAGGGUGCAGCAAUGGCGCUAAAAUCCUUGACGAAGCGACGAUAGAAACCUGCAAGACCAAGAAAACUUUGUACCUGUGUGAUGGUUUGGGGAACCGGCCAGCUCUUUAUGGCUUCAAUUUUUAGCUCAUCCACUUGAAUUCCCUGUGGAGUAACAACAUAGCCAAGAAAAGAGACUCGAUCCGUGCAAAAGAUGCACUUCUCAAGGUUACCAAAUAAAUGUGCAUCACGUAAAGCAUUAAAAACAGCACGUAAGUGAUCCAUAUGUUCAUCCAAAGACUUGCUAUAAAUCAAUAUAUCAUCAAAGUAAACCACCACAAAUCGCACAAUAAAAGCUCUUAAAACUUCAUUCAUCAAUCUCAUGAAAGUACUAGGUGCAUUAGUUAAACCAAAAGGCAUUACUAACCACUCAUAUAAUCCAAAUUUAGUUUUGAAAGCUGUUUUCCAUUCAUCGCCAAGUUUCAUUCUAAUUUGGUGGUAGCCACUACGCAAGUCAACCUUUGUGAAAAUUACAGAGCCACAUAACUCAUCAAGCAUGUCAUCAAGCCUAGGAAUAGGAUGACGAUAUCGAAUAGUAAUAUUAUUAAUGGCUCUACAAUCAACACACAUACGCCAUGAACCAUCUUUCUUAGGAACCAAAAUCACAGGAACGGCACAAGGACUAAGGCUUUCUCAUACAUACCCACGGUCCAAAAGGUCUUGGACUUGUCGCUGAAUUUCCUUAGUCUCCUCGGGGUUGGUUCGAUAAGCAGCUCGGUUUGGCAAUGUUGCUCCCGGGAUCAAAUCAAUUUGAUGCUCUAUUCCUCUCAUAGGUGGCAGCCCCGGGGGUAUCUCAGCUGGAAAAACAUCCUCAUACUCCUGCAAAAGGUUAGUGACAACAGGAGGUAUCGAGCCAACAUUAUCAUCAAGCGAAAACAAGACUCGUUUGCAAGCCAAACUGUAGCAAAUAUCAUCAUCAGAAAUUUCAGCAAGGUCACUUUUUAUUGCAAGCAUAACUGCACCCUUCAAUUUAAUUCCCUCGGCCUUAGAAUUAGGUGUCGACUUAUCAUUUUUAGGUGGGUAAACAGAAUUAGCAACCUGCUGAUUUUCAGAUUUAACAUCAUGCAAACUAGUAGCUCGUUCUUUAUCAGCCUGUACAAUUUCAGCAGGGGUCAUUGGUACCAAAGUAAUUUUCUUUCCUUUAUGAACAAAAGUGUAUGUGUUACUUCUACCAUGGUGUAUAACAUCAUUAUCAAAUUCCCAAGGACGACCCAAUAAAAGUGAACAAGCUUCCAUAGGUACUACAUCACAAUCAACAGAAUCAACAUAGGUACCAAUGGAAAAAGAAACUCUGCAAGUUUUUGUUACCUUAGCCUUACCAGAAUCAUUCAACCACUGAAUAUGGUACGGAUGGGGGUGUGGGCGCAUGGUCAAACCAAGCUUCUUGAUCAAAUCUGAACUCACCAAAUUAUUGCAGCUACCCCCAUCAAUGAUGACACGUGCUCGCCGGUUGUUGAUGACAAAGAAAAUUUGGAACAAAUUGUGGCGUUGUAGCUUCUCAGGUUGUUGUACUUGUGCGCUGAGCACUCGCUGCACAAUGACGCUCAUGUAGGCUGAAGUGUCCCCGCUACCAAAGACCUCGCCGUCUCCCUGAAUAGGUUCUUCUUCUUCAUCAUCUUCAACGUCAGAGGUACUGAUGUACCCAUCUUCUGUAGCAAUGUAUGCCCGCUUACUUGGGCAGUCUUUUUGCACAUGUCCAUAUCCAUGGCAGCGGUGGCACUGAAUGCCAGAAGUGCGUCCCGUUGAGGCAAUGGAGGAUGCACUCUUCGAAGGUUCCUGCAUAGAAUUUUUACCUGACCCGGAAGGUUGGGAAGAAGGCGUCCGCUUGCUUGCUGGUAGAGGCGCUCGAAAAGAGGAUGCCUUGGGAAGCCCGGAAGAUGGCCCCAUGCGCGGUGUGUAUGAGGUACCACCCUUGCUCUUGCCCUGCUUUUCACGCCCCUGCAACUCCUUCUCUGCAAGCAUAGCAAACUGAAACAACUGGUUGAUAGUGUUAAAUUCCUUAUAAUCAACUAUGUCCUGAAUUUCCUCCCUCAAACCUGCAUAAAACGAACAAUCGAAUCCUCGGGUCCCUCUACUAUGCCACAGCGCAUCAAACCUUUUUGGAGCUCACCAUAGUAAUUCUGCACGGAUUUAUCUCCCUGUUCUAAACGCAUCAGUCUCUUACGUAGGUCUCUAUGAUAUGAUGGAGGCACAAAUCUAUCACGCAUAGCAACCUUAAGUUCUUCCCAAGUUCUAGGUUGGCAAUUAUCUGCAACUAAACCAGUCCACCAAAUGAUAGCAAAAUCUUUAAAUUCACUAGUGGCUUGUCUAAUGUGAUGUUGCUCAGGCACAAGGUGGGCACUAAAUUUUUGCUCUACUAUCAUCUCCCAAUCAAGGUAUUCCUCAGCAUCAUAAUGUCCCGAAAAGGAAGGUAUUGUAAAUUUAACCUUAGCAUAAGGAUCAUCGGGAGCAUGAGUGCGAUUACCUCGAUGGCGGUUGAAAUGUUGAGCGCCACCCAUACCUGCGGUGUUUGUGUGAAGACGAUGACGUAAUCUGUUUCUCAUUGUCGCUGCUCGAUCAAUCUUGCCAUCGGCAUCAUAUACCUCAUCACCAGCGUCGCUGCCAUCAAUAUCUUCUUCGGGUGGUGGCCUGGCUUCUAAGGCAGUUACCCUAUCAGUUAGAGCGGACAGUCGUUUGUCCAAUCUCUCAAGGGUGUUGCCGAUCUUGAGGUCAAUGAGUGCUGCAGUUACAGCCUUUGUUACUGUCUCGUUCAUAUCUUUCUGAGCAUUGGUUAAAACCGAUUGUAGUUGCUCUUGGCUGACACACUCUGAAAACUCUUUGGGUGAAUUAUCUUCUCCGUCGUCACCUGCCAUUGUAGACACAAAACACAAGCAACAAACAGUAAAAAUUAUCCCUAAUAAUCCUACUACUCAGGUGGAGUGGUGCCUCAAAAAUCACAGCAAAUGGAACACCUUAACAAGUUCCGACCGGUUCUUACCAGCAAGGCACGGAUACCUGGAAGACGUAGCGCUGAGAUUACGGGGUCAAAACUUGUGUUGUCGAGAAGCAAUAUGUGGAGCUCUAGGAAGGCUUAAAAUAUAGUAGCAAGGAAUAGCAAUAAUUUAAUUCAGAAAUUGCAAGAUUUAAAAGUAGUCCCAAGCUAGUCUAUGUCGCCGGCCUAAACUUAUCCAAGACCUAGUUCAAGCAAGCAACAAUACAACUCGGCGUGGAGACUCAAAGGAUGCAAGCACUUCUGAAAUUUUUUUCACUUUUUUUUUGCUGCGGCUUUUACUCUCUCUCUUUUUUUGCAGCUCGUUGCCUUUUACUUUUUUUUGUGUGGCUCUUUCUUUUUCUUUUUACAGAAUAUGCCACAAUGUACAAAGUACCAGAUACGCAACUAACUGAUUUGUAACCCACGGCAAAAGAAACUGAGCCCAAACCUACAGCCGUCAAGGAGAUAUUUUACUGCCUUUUAGAUGAACAGAAUCUUUCCUUCUCUGCGUGCUUCCACAACAGAAAUCUAAAGCUUUGUGCGACUAGCCAAAAUCAAUUGUUUUAAUAUAUUUUGUUUCAAGGAAAUCUGGACUCGGCUAAAAUUUUGUUUCCUAAAAUCUAGCAGGAGCACCGAUGGAAACGAUCAGUGAGCUCCACUAGGCAGUCGUUCAUGUAUUCAGCACAAAAGCUUGUGUCCACGCACAACUCUAGGGGCAUGCAACCAGAGCACGAUUUGCUGACAGAAAAAAAAAUAAAAAUAAAGGUGUGAUCAAACUGAUGGACGUCAACAAACCAGACCUAGACUUAUCUAAACCAACGAACACAAUGACAUAACGAGGGACGACCGUUCAAUAAAGCAAACUGAAAUAAAAUUAUUGCACGGCCACAACGGGUGAUAGGACUUGGGGAAAACAAAGAUGAACACAAGUAUUUUUUAGGGCAAUUUUUUGGAUUUUUAGGACAAAGUGAAACACAACUAAACUAGGAUAAGGGCGAACCUGACGGUAAACCUGAGGCUCUGAUUACCACUUGAUGUGAACUAGGGUUCCUGAUCUUCCGAAAGGUUCUGAUAACUCUCGAUUUGGUGGAGUCGCGACACAAUUCGAUCCGGCUUCCGAACAAUUCGGUCCUGAAACCCGAAAUCGCAGCACCACGUCUCCUCUGGUUAUCGACCAUCGAUGCACGGUCGACCUCGCCAAGAAGGCUGAGUCCUUUGCCUGCAAAUCGAAGAACACAAGCAAGAACAAGAAAGAAUGCAACCAAACUGCAGAUGAAUGAUUAAUCUCACGAGUUGGGGUCUCACAAACCGACGCGGCCGCGAAACUGUUCUUGACAGAAUAAUCUAAGCAAAACCCAAAACCUAACGAGAGUGCCGGCAGCUGGUUAUAGAGGUCUAAGGGUCGUCGCCACCCCUGGACGCGCCCGCCUAAUGGGCUCAACGACGAUACACGGCCCAACAGACCAAAAACGUUGAUGCAGCACUGGAACAGAUUCUAGAGGCUGACUUGUUUUGACGUUUCCCGAUGACUCAGAAGGAAUUUGUACCUCAAACCAAUACCAUUGGUUUCCUUAUGAAAUUAUCUUUCCAACCAUGGGUGGAUCGUCGAAAACGGAGUCCGGAUGCGUCCUGGGCGUCCGUUUGACUCCUCGCUGGUCCUGGACUCCGAAACAGGCUCGAAGUCGACUUGGUUUGGGCCUCACCUUGACUUGGGCGCCCUUGCUGGUCCUCCACGCCUCCAAGCCCUCCCUUAUGCAUCCCCUGGUCCUCUCCAUGAUUCCUAAGCACAAUAAAAUCAUUAGGUAGCAAUCUAUUCUCAAAAUCAUAUAAAGACUUGCUUAGGAACGAGCUAACCUGUAAAUUUAGUUGUCGCGCGCGAGCUCUUGUGAUUGGACCUUGAAAAUCCAGCAUAGGAUCAUCGUGUGCAUCCGAAGGAGUGAUGUCCUCAUCACCCGUGACGGCCGCCAGCACGUCUACGUGUGGCGCCAAUGCGGGGACUACUUCAUUGGCCACGAGGAGCUCGCGGAGACGGAAGAGGCCGCGAGGGUGGAGCGCGCGGCCAAGCGUCUUGUGGACGAGGUUAAGGUAAGUGAUCCUGUGUGCUGCUCGACACUUAUGUGCAGUGUUCCUGUGUUCGACAUAUGUUCUUCUUUGCAGGGCGCGAUGAAAACGGCGAAUUACCGAAAAAGGUGCUUCGACCAAAUCGAGGGCACUGUGGCCGAGAACAAGGCCCUGUCCGCAGAGGUGGACCGGCUUCGGUCAGAAGUUGGGGAGAAGGUGGCCGAGAUGAGUGCUCAGGAAGAGCGCUGUCUCGAGCUUACUCGGUGUUUAGCCGACCAGUAUCGGCAGAGGACAGGUCAGUCGCACACUCCGAGCAGCUGUAUAUAGCCGUGUGAUUAGUUUUGUUGACCAGGGGAGUGUUCCUGUAGACUUGGAGGAAGAGGUUGCGCGCCUCCGACAAGAGAAGGAGCAGCUCGGCCGAGAGCUUGCCGGGGCGCUAGAGGCCGGACGGCGAGCAGGCGAGGAGCUAAGCCACAGGAAUCGGGAAUUGUCUGGUAAUAACCGUGCCGACCCCCCUUUUGGCUGCUCAACGUUCCUUGCAUUGUUCUUAAACUGUUCUCGUGCUUGGUUUGUAGUGCUCAAGGUGAAUACCAAGAAGCACUUAGACGAGCUGGUCAAGGAUCGGGACUCCUGGAAGACUAACUGUAUUAGGCUUUGGAAAGGAGUAGCCCCGGUCCUGCACUUGAUCAGCCCCGAGCAUCCUAAAGACCAGCCCCCCGCGCCGAAGCUGACGCCAGUCGAGAAGGCGCAACGGGCGUGGGAUUGGCUCCAGCAGUUCGUUAAGGACGCCGGGGAGUUCGCCGGCGCACAUGUCCUCAGCAUGGUGCGCGCCCACUAUCCCCUGGUCGACUUGUCCAGGCUGGAGAGGGGGUACCCCAAGGAAGUCGGCCCGCAAGAGGCGGACGACCUUCGAGCAGGCCUGCUAGACUUGUCGUCGACGGUGAUCGGCGACAUCAACCUAUGCGGGACGGCCACUCCCCCCGACCAGCUGGGGUCAGACAGGUCGGCCAGGAAGUUGUCGGGGGCAUCUAUUGCCGGAGAUGGGCGGUCGACGCCUGCGGUCUCGACCAGCCAGGCGCCGGUGGCCCCGACCCCUUCAUCCGGGCAGCAAGGCCAGACGGGUGAUCAGCCCGAGCACUAGGCCAGUAGGAUAGUCUGUAGGAGUAGACUAGUAACCGCCCGUCAGGGUGUUUAUUGUAAACUCUGUAUGUAAAGUUUGUAAUAAAGUUUGAUUUUGUCAUGGCUAUGAUUUUGAGCGCUGUAAAGUUAUCUGAGUGAUGUAUCACUGUGUUUGAUUGAUAGUCGUUAAGGAUCUCCAUCGCAGAGGAAUAUUGUUGUGCUCAUUGAAAGCUCUGCGUGUAAACAAUGUAUAGAGAAAAAGGAAAACUUUUAUUAUUGCCAAUUAUAAGAAACUUACAAGCAAAAGGUACUGGAACUUAUGGAUAAAAACGGCGCAGUUUGUCUAUGUGCCAAGAAUUAGGCACGCGUGUUCCACCAGUAUGUAAUUCUUUGAUCAUCGAAUGAGGCGCUCGUUCUCCGUUUUAUCCUAAAAGCCUGACCCGUCCGAUAUAUAUUUGAUGAACGGGGUGCGCCAAUCACGGCUGCUGGUUGUCGGAGUAGCUUCGUCUAUGAGCAUUGCCUCAAUAGGUUGCUUUUCGACCAGGUCUGUGCCCACACUUGGCUCACAGAUGUCCUGGACGAAAACACCUUGCGGGAUCUGGGCCCGAGAUGACCCUAACUUUGACAGCGCAUCCGCUGCCUGGUUCUUAUCCCGGACCACGUGGAUGUACUCUAUGCCAUAGAAGUUGGAUUCGCAUUUGCGGAUUUCUUUGCAGUAGAGAUCCAUCUUCUCGUGGGUUGCGUCUCAUUCCUUGUUGAGCUGGUUGAUAACUAAAGCGGAGUCGCCAUAGACGUAGAGGCGUUUGACUCCCAACUCAACGGCUAGUCGUAUGCCAUGCAGGCAUGCUUCGUACUCCGCGACGUUGUUUGACGCCAGAAAAAGGAUCCUAAGGACGUAACGCAGUUUGUCCUUAUUAGGCGACACGAAAAGUAUCCCAGCGCUAGCGCCGUUGAUGUUCAAGGACCCGUCGAAGAACAUUGACCAGUGGUCGGAGACGUCGGAAACGGGAGGCUCGUUGACAUCCGUCCACUCUGCGAUGAAAUCGACCAGGGCCUGAGACUUGACUGUAGUGCGGCUCUGGAAAUCCAGGGAGAAUGGGCAUAAUUCCAUUGCCCACUUUACGAUUCUGCCGUUGGCGUCUUUAUUGCGCAGGAUAUCCCCAAGAGGAAAACUGGUGGUUACCAAGACCCGAUGGCCGUCGAAGUAGUGCUUUAGCUUCCUCGACGUUAUUAGAAUGGCGUAUAUGAGCUUCUGUAUUUGUGGGUAUCUGGCCUUGGACUCGUUUAAGACUUCGCUUAUGAAAUAAACGGGUCUUUGGACCUUGUAGACGUGACCUGGCUCGUCUCGCUCGACCACUAUUGCCGUGGAGACAACCCUGUCAGUUGCUGCAAUGUAAAGGAGUAGGUCUUCAUUGGGCUGAGGCACUGUGAGAACAGGCGGAGAGGUAAGGAAAGUCUUGAGCUGGGUGAAUGCAGCGUUAGCUUCCUCUGUCCAGGAGAAUUUUUCUGACGCCUUCAAGAGUUUGAAGAAAGGGAGGCCUUUUUCUCCUAGUCUUGAGAUGAAGCGGCUGAGAGCGGCCAUACAUCCGGUGAGCUUCUGAAUAUCCUUGACAUUCUUAGGUGGUCGCAUGUCGAGCACUGCUUUUACUUUUGAAGGAUUCGGUCGUAUGCCAUCGCGGCUGACGACAUUGCCGAGUAGUAGACCAGAAGGGACCCCAAAGAUGCACUUUUUGGGGUUAAGCUUCCACUUAUACUUGUUUAGUGCCUUAAAGGUUCGGUCUAAGUUGUCGAUUAGGGUGCUUGCAUCCCUUGUUUUGAUGACGACGUCGUCUACGUAAGCCUCGACGAGGUCAUCACGAAUCUCGUCGUGGAGGCAUUGCUGGAUGGCCUGUUGAUAGGUGGCUCCGGCGUUCUUGAGUCCAAAGGACAUGGUCGUGUACCAGUAUGCGCCAAAAGGAGUAAUGAAAGAUGUUUUGAUCUGAUCAUCUUCCUUUAGUGAGAUCUGGUGAUAACAAGAGUAGCAGUCUAGAAAAGAAAGGAGUUCGCAUCCGGCCGUUGAGUCGACCACCUCGUCGAUGCGAGGGAGACCGAAAGGAUCUUUAGGACAGUGUUUAUUGAGAUCGGUGUAAUCAACGCACAUUCUCCAUUCAUUAUUCUUUUUGCGUACAAGAACCGGAUUGGCAAGCCAAUCGGGAUGAUACACUUCUUUUAUGAAUCCGGCAGCUAGAAGCCGCGUUAUUUCUGUCCUAAUAGCCUCCUUUUUGUCACGAGCGAACCAUCAUAGCUUUUGCUUGAUGGGUCUUGCGGUCUUCGAGACAUUUAAGGAGUGCUCGAUCACGUUUCGUGGGACGCCGGGCAUGUCUGCGGGUUUCCAUGCGAAAACACUCACGUUGUCCCUUAGAAACCUAACGAGCGCGUCUUCCUAUUUGGGAUCCAGAUGGGCCCCGAUGAGGGCCGUCUUCUUGGGGCUGCCUUCACCCAGCUGUACUUCCUUGUACUCCUUGGAUUUUGAAUUCUUCCUGGCGGUCUCCUACUCGGGUAGUCGGAGCUGGUCGUGAGGGAGCUGUGGAGCUUGGGCUGCUGUUUCUGCCAUGCGAAUUGAAAGAUCGAUUGCUUCAGUGAUCUUGAAGCUCUCCUCCUCGCAAGUAUAUGCAGUGUAGACAUUGCCCCUGACGGUUAGGACGCCCUUCUCCGUAGGCAUUUUGAGGACCAGGUAUGAGUAAUGUGGGACUGCCAUGAACUUUGUCAGCGAUGGUCGGCCCAGUAUAGCGUGGUAAGUCCCAUCAAAGUCGGCGACCACAAAGUUGACGAACUCUGUUCGAAAGUGGUCGGACGUGCCGAAUUAGACAGGCAGUGUUAUCUGUCUGAGGGGCACUAAACUCUGACCUGGCAAGACUCCCCAGAAUUGAGCGUCGUAUGGGUUUUAGCUGUGCUAGAGAUAUCUUGAGGGCGGGCAAGCUAUUGCGAAAGAGGAUGUCAAUGGAACUUCCUCCGUCCAGGUUGUCCCUUAAAUCUGAUGCUGUUGAUGCAAGUGUCCAAGAUUAGAGGGAAGCGACCUAGCUCCGGGAUAGUGGCCCACUGAUCCUUCCUGCUGAAGGAGAUUUCCCUGUGCGACCAGGGAGGAAAUUUUGGAUCGGCGAUCAGUCCAUCCGUGCUGUCUAUGUUGAGGCAGGCUCUAUUUAGGAGUUUUCUUUCUCGCUUAGACUCGAUGGAGACCUUGCCCCCGAAGAUGGAGUGGACCACGUCCGUAGGACUGACAUACAGGUGUCGCGGGUCCCUAUCCUGGUCUUCGUCCUCGUCUUCGUGAUCGCGCUCAUCUUGUUUCCCGUUUUUCUUGGCGGGGUCGUCUUGAGCAGCCCGCCGUGUAUAGAUGCUUUUGAGGACGCAGCAUUCUUCCAUGGUGUGGUUGGACUUUGGAUGCAGUUGGCAUGGUCCCUUCAACGUCUUGUUGUAGUCUUCUUGGUAAUCCCGCCGCCCGUUGGGGCGAUUGACUGUAUUCACCUCGUGGUCGUGGUCACGGGGGCGCAUUCCUCUGAAAUCGUCGCGAUUGUCGCGUCGCCUGUCCCAACCUUCCCUGUGAUCGCGGUUGUCGGGGCGACGAUGGUUCCUGUUGUCGAAGCGACCACGACUAUCGUAUCGUCGAGGAGGCUGGUCGGGUCCUCUCGCAUCAUCCCGAAUGAGUUUUUCCGCGUCGUCGGCGUCGGCGUAGUUUUUAGCCGUGGCAAGAAGCUCGGCCAUCGUUGUUGGCCUUUUGCGCAGUAGCUUGUUCCUCAGUGCUUCAUGGAAGCGCAGCCCUUUUAUGAAAGCAGAUAUGGCCUCGUCGUGGGAAAUUUUUGGGAUCUUAAGGCGCAUAUCCGAGAAUCAUCGGAUGUAAUCGCGCAGUGGCUCGUUUUUCCUGUCCCGUAUCCUUUCAAGGUCGUAUUUGUUCCCGGGCUGUUCGCAGGUAGCGAUAAAAUUGUUGAUGAAUGCUUGGCGCAAUUCUUCCUAGGAGUCAAAAGAGUCCUCGGGCAGGCCUAGGAGCCACUGGUGACCGGCCUGGUCGAGGACGACCGGGAAGUAAUUGGCCAUGACGUGCUCAUCUCCUGCUGCUGACCGGACGGCGAUCUCAUAUAGAGUGAUCCAGUUUUCUGGGUUUUCCUUGUCGUCGUAUUUUUUGACUUUCUCAAGCUUGAAAUUGCGGAGCCACACGACUUGGCGGAGGUGUGAGGAGAACUGUCUCAGGCCCGGGGGGCCGUGCGUUGCAUCGUACUCAAUACAACGCAGGUUUUCGUGAACUGCUCUCUCCGUGGCGCGCCUGUUGAUGCGGUCCCGGGCGUCUUUGGGAGGGAUGUUGUAUCGAAGAUCCCUGUGCUGGUUUACUUCUUGACCACGCCCACGAUUCUGCUCGCGGUGACCGCCAGCAUCCCGACCGCCGUCGUCACGCCGUGAAUCUUUUCGAUGAUUGUUGGGGGAACGGCUGCGGUGGUGCCUGCUGGGCUGUGGUGAGGUCUGGCUGUGAUGGGUCUGGUCGGAGGAGACCUCUAUAUAGGAGAUAGCUUGGACUCUUUUGAGCAGAGUGGCUGUCUGUCCCAUCGGCGAUCAGAUGUGCUCGAACGCGGGAUCGGACGCCCUGGCAUUCGGGAGUAUCAGGGAGUCGAUCUAAAUUGGCCAUGGCGACAGCCACAUUGGCGCUUGGCAUUUUGUAGACUGGCUGAUCCCCGACCAUGUCGAAAGCGUCGGUGAGAUUAUAUGGCGGGAGUUGGCAUUCCUCGUCCGCGCGUCGCCGGGCGCGGUCGGCAUUGCGCUGCUCACGGAGCUGCCUCUGCUCGUCUGUUUCUCCAUCAACAACCGGCUCGUCGGCGCUGACGUUGAAAACGAGGUCUCCUCGCCGGGGUGGGAAGACCGGGAAACGAGAGAAACCCGGAGGAUAUGGUGGCAAAUCCAGGUCGUAGUCCUCGUCCUCGGAGUUUAUGACCUCAGUGGGAACAGAACCAGUGCUCGAAUUUGUGCUGGAAGCCUGGCCGUCCCGUAGUUCUCAGAUCGUCACCAUGUUGACGUAGUGACGAGCUGGUCGACCGCUCCACUUUGGCAACCAACCAGCCUCGUCAAAAAGAGAUUGGAUGUGCCGCGAGUAGAGAGAGGCCGAGUUGUUCAGACCGCAAGGAUAACCUUCCUCCAGAUCAGCCUCGAGCUUGACGGACCGUCCUGAGGGUUGGAGGUUAUCGUCAGAGACGUUCCCAGCCGUUCGUGUGUGACGACACGAGUUGGCCGGUAGGAGUUGAAAAAAUCCACUAGCGCGGCUUGAUCAGGCUGGCGCGAGAUCCCAUCUAUUAGUCGGGAAGCUUCGAGAAGCUUGAAAUCAGCGUGAUCAAGGGCUCGGAGAAGAUCCGAGCCAUCGAUCUUCUUUCCCUUGUAGCGCGGAAGCGGUGGUCGGGUGCUCGGUGCCAGCAUCUGCGUGGUCGGAGCCGAUGCCGCCGUCAUCCCAGAUUCGAUCUGGGUUCCUUCCGAAACCGUGGUCAUGAGAUCGCUGCCGUGCGUCGUCCACGUGAUCUGGCCGACGGUGAACGUGAGGCCUUCAGGCACGGCCGCGGAAGCUGGAAUGAUGACCAUCUUGUUCGCCGGAGAAGUUGUACGCACACCCCCUACCUGGCGCGCCACUGUUGACGAAAGCUGGUUGGCAGUCUACCUUGGGGUAUACCCACGGUAGUAGUUUAUCGGUAGACGGUGCGCAAACUACGAACUCGAUGGUGACGCAAGACACGGACAAGCUUUUUAUCUAGGUUCGGCCACCGAGCUGGCGUAACACCUACGUCCUGCGUCUUGUUGUAUUGAUUUGUGUUGAGAGAAUAAUGUGUCCUAGGGGGGUCCCUCGCCUCUCCUUAUAUAGUCCGGAGGGCAGGGUUACAGAUCUAGAAACUAAUCCUAGUCGGUAACAAUUGCCAUAGAUAGUUCGAUAUCAAUUCCUAUUCUAACCGACUAGAAUCCUGCUUGAUCUCCACAUCUUGUUUCCUUACGCAAAACUCCAAGUGGUCGGAUCAAGCCUCGAACUUGUCUCGUAAUGGGCCAAGCCUCCUGGCCCAAGUCUAGCCGUAAGGGUAUAGGGGUUUAUACCCCCACACAUCCCAGGAAGGCAAACGUUGUUGCCGAUGCACUUAGUCGAAAGAGUUAUGCCAAUGGGCUGCAAUUGACCUUCAUUCCCACAGAGUUGCUAGCUGAAAUAGAGCAUCUCAAUUUGGGUUUAGUGAACAACACUAUUGAAUUGGAGUUAGAGCCCACCCUAGAGCAAGAAAUCCGCAAAGGUCAGUUGGAGGAUGAGAAAUUAAAAGAAAUUUCAGAGAAUGUAGUGCUUGGAAAAGCACCAGGUUUCAGGUUGGAUGAAAAUGGUACACUAUGGUUUGGAAAGACGAUAUGUGUGCCUGAAGUAAAAUCCAUCCGAGAUGCAAUCCUACGUGAAGCACAUGACUCUGCAUAUUCAAUUCACCCUUGAAGCACCAAGAUGUAUCUAGAUCUUAAAGAAAAAUAUUAGUGUAUGGAUUAAAGAGAGAUGUGGCAGAGUAUGUAGCCAUUUGUGAUACUUGUCAGAGGGUGAAAGCCGAGCACCAAAGACCUACAGGGUUGUUGCAGCCAAUGCAAGUGCCAGAAUGGAAAUGGGAAGAAGUAGGUAUGGAUUUCAUCACGGGAUUGCCCCGCACUCAGCGUGGGUAUGAUUCAAUUUGGGUAAUAGUCGAUCGGCUCACUAAAGUUGCUCACUUUUUUCCCGUAAGACCAACUAUGAUUGUGCAAAGUUGGCAAAAUUAUAUAUGGAUAGGAUCGUGAGUCUGCACGGAGUUCCGAAGAAGAUCGUGUCUGAUCGGGGUACACGGUUCACAUCACAGUUUUGGCAUAAAGUACAUGAAUCAUUGGGAACAAAGUUGAACUUUAGUUUCGCGUAUCAUCCCCAAACCGAUGGGCAGACUGAAAGAGUAAAUCAGAUUCUAGAAGACAUGUUGAGAGCAUGUGCGUUACAGUAUGGUACCAGUUGGGACACUAGUUUACCAUAUGCUGAAUUUUCAUAUAAUAAUAGUUACCAGAAAAGUCUCGAUAUGGCACCGUUUGAAGCAUUGUAUGGGCGGAAAUGUAGAACACCUUUGUUUUGGAAUCAAACUGGUGAGAGCCAAGUAUUUGGACCAGAUGUUCUUAGAGAUGUAGAGAAACAAGUACGGAAAAUACGGGACAACUUGAGAGUAGCCCAUUCUCGACAAAAGAGUUAUGCUGAUACUAGAAGAAGAGAUUUGGCAUUCGAGAUAGGCGACUAUGUGUACUUGAAGGUGUCACCUAUGAGAAGUGUCAGGAGGUUUAAUAUGAAGGGUAAAUUGGCACCAAGGUACGUUGGACCGUUCAGAAUUAUUAGGAGACGUGGAGAAGUGGACUAUCAGUUAGAGUUGCCUGCGAGUAUGUCGGGUAUUCACGAUGUGUUAAAUGUGUCGCAACUGAAGAAAUGUUUGCGAGUGCCUGAGGAACAAAUUCCAUUGGAGGAGCUCACAGUUGAAGGAGAUCUAACUUAUGAGGAAUAUCCAAUCAAGAUCUUAGAAACAGUGGAAAGAGUCACCCGGAGUCGGGUUAUAAAGAUGUGCAAAAUGCAGUGGCACCGACAUAAAGAAGAAGAAGCCACUUGGGAAAGAGAAGAUGAGCUGAGACAAUCUUAUCCGUAUCUCUUAGAGUAAGCACCAUCUCAAUCUCGAGGACGAGAUUAUUUUUAAGGGGGGUAGAAUUGUAACACCCAAAAAUUUUAUUUCUUAUAAAUAGAUGAAUUGAAUUUAAAUGAAUUUAUUUUAUGAGCAUUUUCAAUAUAGGAAAAUAAAUAAAUUUGGAGAAAUUAAAAUUUAAUAUAAAGUUAGAAUAAUAAUUUUUGUUGCAUACAUGCUGGAGCACUUCUUUUAUGUGAUGAGUGGUUUUUGAACAAAGGAAUUUGAAUUCAAUUUUCAUUUUGAAAAUAGUUUGAAAAAUUUGUUUGGAAAAAAAUAAAAAGGAAAAAAAAGCUUUCUCUUUCCCCUUUCCCUCUAUUCGGCAUUUUGGCCCAAAACCCCCACGCCCCGCGCCCCCCUUCCUGGGCCGCGGCCCAGCCGGCUCCCUCUUCCCCCUUCCCCCUCUCUCUCUGGCGGCUCACGGGUGGGGCCCACCUGUCAGGUCCAUCCCCUUCCCCCAAACCGCCGCCCGCUUCUCUCUCUCUCUCUCCUGAACUGCCAAGCCGAAGCCCCCGCUCCCACGUUCUCCCCUCCCUGCGCCUCGGCUUCAAGUUGGAGAGCCCCCUCGCGCGCCCGAGCUUGCUCCCCCUCCCCAUUUUCUUCUCUCCCUGCCUCUGCUCCUCUCGGUUUGCGCAGAAAAACACCGCCGGCGACCUCCGCGCGAAGCCGCCGUUCCGAGCCGUCCUCGCCGUUUUCGUAGAGCCAGUGAGCUUCCUCUCCCUCCCCGCAUUCUCCUCAACCGAAUCCAUUGUAUUUUUGUGCCUCCUAGCCCCCUGGCCGCGUGCUCCGGCGAGCUCCAUCGCUGCCGGCAAUGGAGCGGGCUGCGCGUGCUCUCCCCGGCCGCGCAAAGGAUGGAACCGAGUUCGCCGCGACCUCCUCUAGCGCCUGCGCGGGCUUCUCCAGCGAGCUUGCUCGCCGCGGCUAUGGUCGCCGCCGCGCCCUUCCUCCCCUCCGGCCGGCGCGCCGCUUCCCCCCCCCCCCUCUCUCAUCUCUGCGUCUUAAUCUCGGCCGUCCGUUCGCGAUCUGAUGGCCCAGAGAGCCCCAUACCCCUUCGGGGGCAAUCUUGUUAAAGAGUCCCCCAAAAUUAUUGAAUUUGCACCGCAGUCCUCGGCCGGGAGAAUUCCAGGAAUUUCUGUAUUCAUUUAAAUUCGUUUAAACAUGCUUUAUUUACAGAAUUGCCACUGCAUUGUUUUGGCCAUAAAAUAUUCGUUAUAGCUCCGAAUUGACCUGUUCAAAUUGCGUUAGGUUCGUAAUUAAAUUCUCUACAUGAUAGCACUACUGUUUCUGUAGUUUGCCACUUUUUAUUUUCAGGGUUAGGUUUAAUUAAUUAAAUGCCUAUAGGAAAUCACCGUAAAUUCGUAACUUGGUCGUUUUAGCUCCGAUUUUCGUGAUCUUCGUAUCUAUGUGAUCGUAGCGUAACGUAGGUUCUGUUUUAAAAUAUUUUAUUUCAUUUUUGAUAUGUUGGUGUACUGUUCUAACUAAGGAUUUUUUGCUUGUAUGAUUGAACUUUGAAUGCGUGUUGUUGUGUGGUACCGAUCUAGCGCAGACGGUGACGUGUCCUGGGUGAUCCCUUUUACUCCGAGGAGCAGCAGGACCAGCAACAGUUCCUCUUCACCGAAGGCAAGUAUAACAUGGGUUUCCCUUGUACACAUAUUCACUUAAUUAAUUUUGAUAACCCUAAGGACAUCCUAGCUACCUUACUGUAUAUUUAUGACACCUAUGGGUAGAAUGCAUGUGGGUAGCUUUGCUAGUGCUUUAAUUAAUUGAGACUUUACUAUCACUCUGACUUUAAUGAAUUUGAUGACAAAUUUUGGGAAAAGGGCUAUGGUGCAAUUGACUUCGGUCAGGUUGACCUAGACCCUCCGUAAGGACUUCUCUCUAAGCGACCAUCCGGGACAUACAGUGCAACCGUGAUGGUUAUAUAGCUCUAACUUUAGCUCAGUAAUAGGAUCUCAUCUAGCUGGUUAGAGGUUACCCAAAAGGGCGCAAGAAGGGCUUGCCACUUUGGGUGUAGAACUGCUUCUGUUCCUAUGUGUAUAGCCGUGAUGGAAAUGUGCCAUAGGAAAGGGGGUCCUCUAUAUGUGCCUGCGAGGAAACCUUGUGGCCCUAACCAGUUAGACGAGGCCUAUGGAAGGCUUCAUAGUGUUCCUUGCCCGCUCACCUUGGCAGUGUUAGUGGGUCUUGCAAACCCUGGGCAUAUGGGUAACACGACUUACGGGAAAAGUGCACACCUCUAGGCAGAGUUUGAUCAAACUGGUAUACUAGCCGUGCUCUCGGACAUGAGCGGCCUUGGACCCUUACAGAAUAGUUGGGUGUGGAUGGUUAUGGGGAAGAUGACUUAUGGAAAUAUGACGCAUUGAUCGUGAUGAUUAAUGUGAUUUAACUGUGAUGGUGAUGUUGUUAGCCGUAAAGGUUAACGGUGUUAUUAUCAUGUACUCAAUUGGGCUAAUCGGGAGCUUAAGGAUAAUCUAUGAUUAAAUAGGAAUAAAACAUUGACCAAUUAAAAUGCUAACUGUAGUAGCCAGUGUUGACCUUUUUGAGCCGCAUAAAAUCCUAUGUUAUGCUUCCAGAGUACGAGAUGUACUCACGCUUGUCUCUAUAUUUCUUUUUGGACAAAAUCCCGGAUGGGUAGCAGAUGAAAGCUACUAUGAAGAAUUCCCUGAGGACUUCUAGGUUGGCGAUCCACCAGUCGGUCGUCCCUGUGAUUGGAGCUACCAAGCUUAGCUAGUUAUGUGUUUUAUUUCCAUUUGUCGCAGACUUUGAUAUAUUUGUGUUGUAAUAACUUUAUGUAAGACACUUGUGAGGAUACAUUUGUAAUUUGUCGACUUAUGUGCGCGACUAUUCCUGGAGCGCACAUGAGGUUUAUUGUACUCAAAUUUAUCCUUAAAUUUGGGUGUGACAGGCUUGGAGAGGGGAAGAGGGCAUUGGAGAUAGGGAGGAAGGUCUCCCAUCUGCACUUGGCAUCAGAGAAGCAAAGAGCAAGGUGGAGGUGGCAGUAAUGGACAGUUUGAACUCGUGCAUGGUCGCCACACCGUGAACACGUGUUGUCAGUUGGGGCAUUCUUCCGAGCAGGUGGCAGGCAACGGUGUGGGUACAGUGGGACGGGAUUGUAGGCCUCUCCUAGGCCGAAUUUGGACAUGGGCAUUAAAUGAAGUUUGCUCUACUCGGCAUGUUCUCCAACUUUGAUUAAGAGUGAAAAUCAUUAGGGAAACGGUUUAGGAGAUAAACAGCUGUCAACUCACAAGUGUCAACACCUUGAUGAAGGUUAGAAAAACUCAAAAUUGAUGGUCGAAACAUGGUCAAACUCAAGCCAAAUUUUCAUGAGCUCUUCUCCAAAAUGUAUACUCCAUCUUUCAUUUUGGGACCCAAAUAGGUUGUUUAGUAGAAUUGGGAGAACGCAGGAUGCCAACCUAAUGACAAUGAAUUUCAGACUUAGAAUCUUUCAAGUGCUAGAAGCAAUAGCUGAUUCAAUCUUGUGACUCAUAUUUGACAUGCUUAGAAGAAGAUUCAGAGCUAGGCUCUUCUACAAAGUUUGUAGCAUACAAACUAUACUACAACUUUUACUAAAGGACCUGUACUGUAUAAGCCUGGGCUAGAAGAUACAAAGCUCCCAACUAGGGUACCCAAAUCUGACACACAAUUUUGACUUAGCCAAUUUUUGGAGUUCCAAAAGUGCACUACAUUGAAUCUUGUGAGCUCAAUUUGACAAGUAUAGGUACCAAACUAGCUUUUGACCAUUAAACGGAGUUUGUUACACUACUAUAGAACAGGCCUUUGGUCACUUGCCCAAAAUGAACAAUAAUCUCGGCCCAAUCAUUGUCCGGGACAAAAACAUCUUUACUCCCGGUUGGUGAGACAAACCGGGACUAAAAUUUUCAUGCCCAACGGCUAUGGUGUCAGAGAUUGUCAGAAGGAACCUUUAGUCCCGGUUGGUAUCCCCAACCGGGAUUACAGCCCGGCCUUUAGUCCCGGUUGGUAACACCAACCGGAAUUAAAAAGUGUUGUCCCGGUCUGUCUCACCGGCCGGGACAAAUGUUGGACUUUAGUCCCGGUUGUUAAAUGGAACCGGGACUAAUUGUCCUUCCCCAUAUUUGAACUCUUUUUCUUCUCCUGGCCGAGCCCGAUCUUCACUCUUUUGCUAUGUUCUUCAUUUGCAGUUGCUUGUUCUUGCUCUCUUCUCCGGCUAUUGAUUCAUUUCAUCAUUUCUACGCCGUCAUCGACUUGUUAAGAGGUCACUAGCUUCAUUUUCUCAACAUUAGCAGUGUUAUAUGUCAUUUCCUAGUAUGUUGUUAUUUAUUUUAUGGUUUUUUAAGAGGUCACUAGCUUCAUCUUCUCAAAAUCGCCACGUUUUUUUAGAGAAAUAGUGAUACAAUGUUUUUUUAUUUUAAUUAGUUUAGAAAAAACAAAAAACAUAUAAUACUUUAAUUUACAAUUUGUGACCGAGUUAAUUAGUUAGUUAUAACUAGUAUGCAUACCACAUUUUAUGAUUAUUUAGAAAAAUAGAGAAUAUUUGUGCUUUUUUAAUUUUACUUGUUUAGAGAAAUUCGAAAUAGAGAAUUUUAGGUUUUUUGUUACUUUAAUUUAUGUAUAAAAAAUUAGAAACUUAUAAUACUUUAAUUUGAAAUUUAUGACAAGGUUAAUUAGUUAAUUAUAACUAGUAUGCAUACCACAUUUCAUGAUUAGUUAGAAAAAUAGAGAACUUUUGUGCUUUUUUAAUUUUGCUUGUUUCGAAAAAUCAGAAAUAGAGAAUUUUAGGUUUUCUGUUACUUUAAUUUCUCUAUUAAAAAUUAGAAACUUAUAUUUCUUUAAUUUGCAAUUUAUGACAUAGUUAAUUAGUGAAUUUUUUUAUUUUUAGCCCAUUUUUAAAACAAAUUUCAAAUUUAGGCCGCUUCUUCAAAAAUUUUCAAAUCUAGGCCGUUUGGCCCCGCCACCAUGCAUGGCGGGGCAAAUACACAGUACCCCGCCAUGCAUGGUGGCGGGGUUGACCCUGCCACGUGGCCUCUGCAUGGCCCGCGGUGCUUACGUGUACCCCGCCGUGCCCUAUGGCGGGUUAGGGUACCACGCCGCGGAUCUUGGCGGGGCACGCCCAGGCCCACUAAACCGACCCGACCCGCGUCGCGCCCUCUCUCUCUGUCUUCUCCCCGCAACCGACCCGCCGCCCCCGACCCGCACCACGCCGCGCCGUGCCGCCACGGCCCCGGCCCCGACCGCGCCUCCCCCGACCGCCCUGGCCCCAUUCCCCGGCCGCGCCCGACCCCGCCGAGCAGCGCCGCCACGUCCCCAGCCGUGCCGCGCCCCGGCCUCGCCGGCCCCGUACCCGUCCGGGCGGUGCCCCGGUGCCGGCAGCCCCCCGCCGCCGCGGCCCCGGCCUCGGCAGGCCCCCGCCGCAGCGCCCCCUCCCUCAGCGUCCGCGGCAGCGCUCUCUCCCUCACAGUAUUUUUUUAAUUUUUUUGUUAAUUUAAUUAAUUGUUAAUUAGUUAAUUAGUUUUAGUUCUUAUUUAAUAAUAUAGUUUUUUAAUUGUUUAGUAGUUAAUUAGUUUAAGUUAUUAGUUAAUAAUAUAAUUUUUUUAAUUGUUUAGUUGUUAAUUAGUUAUUUAGUUGUAGUUAGUAGUUAAUAAUAUAGUUUUUAUAAUUGUUAAGUAGUUAAUUAGUUAAUUAGUUUUAGUUCUUAUUUAAUAAUAUAGUUUUUUUAAUUGUUUAGUAGUUAAUUAGUUAAUUAGUUUUAGUUAUUAGUUAAUAAUAUAGUUUUUUUAAUUGUUUAGUAGUUCAUUAGUUAAUUAGUUUUAGUUAUUAUUUAAUAAUAUAGUUAGUUAGUCGAGUAGUAUUACUUAGUUAGUUAGGUAUGUAGUAAUUUGUUUUACCAUAUUGGUUGGUUAGUUGAUGAUCGGAUGUCAAAUCGUUUUGUAGAUGGAUUACGGUGUAAGAGUUUUUUACGGAGGAAGUGUUAGGAGAGAGGAUUGUCAGUUUGAGGAUAUGUCUGAGGAAUUGGAAUGGUUUGAUGGCCCCCCUAGUUUCAGCGAUCUAUGUGACCGUUUGAGUUUGAAGUUUGGUGAUGCUUUCACACUAAAGGGUAGGUUUGAUGUUGGAAAGAAUAGGGCACACUAUGUGAUGAUGGACUUGUGCAACCAAGCUGAGUGGUCCCGAUACAAUAGGGUCAUCCAAGGUUCGAAUGUCGGCAUGGCUGAGUUGGUGUUGGAGAAUGUUGAGAAUGAGGAGCCGUCCUUCGAUGACGGUGGUGCUCACGGAGAUUGUGGUGUGCAGGUCCAACAAACUAUGGAGAGUAUGGACUUGGAUGGUAAUUGGACGCAGGAGCGGGUUCAAUCUCCUCCAGUUGGUCAAAUAAGAAAUGAUUUUGAUGUAGACAAGUUUGAACAUGAGGAGAAUGAGGCGGCAGAGGAUGAAAUGAUUGGUGAUAAUGUUUGCUCUAAUUCUGACGAAUGAGAAAAUGAGGAAGUAGGUUCACCUGCCAUGUGUGCACCGGUUCAUGGCAUGCCCUCAGGAGUUCCGCUUGAGGUACUUCAUGCAAUGCAGACUCAGGGCAAUUUAGCCACAGGAUAUCCAGGUGAUGGAGAGGAAUAUGAAGGAUGGGGUCGGGUUAGAGAGGCGGAACCUUACGUUGCACCACCCUCUUAUACAUCGGCAGAGCUUACACAGCUGAGAGAGGCUGGCUUGCCCUUUACCGGUGUUCCAAAUUAUAUGGAUGUCAGCAUGUCACAUAUGGCGGUUUGUGACACGGGUUUGCAGAUUUGUAAGGAAUCAUUAUACAACCAUCAAAAUUUAAUACUCAGGAAGGGAAUGCUUUUCAAUACGAUGUCUGAGAUGAAGUUGUUCCUUCAGGACUAUGCUGUGUAUCAUCAUAGGCCGUACACAGUUCGGCAUUCCGACAAGGAGGUAAAAUUCCAAAUAGUAUGCAAGGCAGGGUUCCCGUGCACGUGGAAGUUGAAUGCACCGAAACGGUUGACUGAUGGGAAGUGGAAGGUAACUUCAGUGGAGCAGCCCCACAGAUGCCAGACUAACAAGGGCAAAUGGUACCAUCCCCAGUUGACGGCUCGGUACCUUGCUCGCCGUAUAUUGGGUCUUGUUGAUAAGGACAACGACGUAUCGGUGUCUUUCUUGCAGGAGACCAUAGUCACUUUUGUUGGGUAUGAGGUAACAUAUGGAAAGGCUUGGCGGGCAAAGCAAAUUGCCCUGGCAAUUUGGGGGGGUAGUUGGGAGGAAGCCUAUAACAGGGUUCCACGCAUUUUGUGUGCAAUGCGACACUUCAACCCUGGCAUGAGAUGGUUCAUAUACACAGGAGGGUUUUAUCUUCAGAACCCAUUGAGGCAUAUUCUAUACCGUGUGUUCUGGUAUUUUGAUCAGUGUAAGCAUGCAUUUCAGUAUUACCGGCCAGUUGUUCUAGUUGAUAGCACAUUCCUCACUGGCAAAUACAGAGGUACAUUGAUGAUGGCUGCUGCUGUCGACCCUGAGAAUCAAAUUGUGCCACUGGCUUUUGCUUUGGCAGAGGGGGAGAACAACGAUUCAUGGUCAUGGUUCAUGCGUCUGCUCCGUCUUCACGUCCUUGGUCCUUCUCGCACCAUUUGUUUGAUAUCGGACCGUCACAUUGGAACUCUUAAUGCUGCCAGUGAACACAUUCAUGGGCACCCACCCCUAGUGCACCGUUGGUGCAUGAGGCAUUUUGCCGCUAAUUUCUGGCGUCGUCAAUGGAAGAAGGAGGUGGCAUACAAGUUAAAGGAACUUUGUAAUAAACGUACAGAACACGAGUUUAAGGAGACAAUGGCGGAACUACAGAAGAUGCUGAACCGAGCGGGCAAGGCAUGGUUAGAUCAGCAGAUGGAAAAUAAAGCGAAGUGGGCAUUAGCAUAUGAUGAGGGUGGGUUUCGGUAUGGCAUAAUGACAACAAACUCCUCUGAGUCUUUCUAUUGUGUGUUUAAAGGCGUUCGAUCUCUACCAGUGUCCGGUAUUGUUGAGUUCACUUUUAAGAAGUGCAAUGAAUAUUUUGUUACGCGGUAUGGCCUAGCCCUGAGGAAUGAGGAGGAGCUUCGAAGAUGGGGGAAGGCUGCACAUGAAUAUUUGCAGGAGGCUGAGGAGUUGUCCAAGCAACAGGUUGGCGAGGCCUAUGGACGAGAUAGACUUGUUUUUAGCGUACGAGCUAGAGGGGGCACAAACCUUGGCGGCGAACGAUUUGGUGGGCGAACGUACCGUGUGGAUCUUGAAAAAGUAGAAUGCAGUUGCAACGUACCUCAGAUCAUGCAUGCCCCUUGCUCACACAUGAUUACGUCUUGUCGGCUUAGAGGUUUUGACCAUACAGUUGAACCAUACAUGUCACCCUUGUAUCUCCGUGCCAACACCCUAAAUGUUUGGGAGAAGAGCUUCGAGCCGUACCUUGACGAGUCGCAGUGGCCUCCAUAUUAUGGUGAGGACUACGUGCCUUAUCCAGACCUAAAAAAGGUAGGGAAGGGAAGGAGGAAGAAGAAGCGACUGAAAGGCGAUAUGGACAAUAUGAAAGGUUAUGGCGAUGACAUGUAUGGUGGCGGUGACUUCAACGAAGAACGUGCGCAGAACCUAUGCAGCAUUUGCAAGAAACCUGGCCAUAACGCUAGAUUUCAUAUGAGGGAUAGACAAGAGGUUGUUUAUUAAUCUUUGUGCUUAUCAAAAUUCUUAGUAAACAUGCAUUUAUGUUAUUCAUCUUCAAAUUUACUUGCUUUGUCUUAUUACUAAUGUUAUUAAUUGUACUAAUGUUGUUUCUUUCAUUUUUGAAACAGGCGGACUACGAUGGCGGCGCGGGCACCUCAUCCCCGCUUUAGCCUCAUUGAGGCGGACUACGACAAGGACCACCGGGCCAAGGCCUUGUCGGAGCAGCAGAGGCCGUUGUGUGCGCUUCGUGGUCACACGCACCACGUACACUGCUGGAACGAGCGAUACGCGCCGUACAUUCGUCGUGCAGGCUUUCUUGAGAUCGUCUGGGUCUACAACAGUGCACUCCCCACUCUAGACCCUGUAGUUCUUACUGCUUUUGUUGAUUGGUAACAUAGCAUUUUACAUUACUUUAAUUUGUUUGUUAAAAAUGUGCCCUCAAAUAAUUGAUAUACACAACAUUAUAAUGAUGCAGGUGGAGACCAGAGACGCACACCUUCCACACACCUUGUGGAGAAAUGACUAUGACAUUGCAGGAUGUGAAGAUGAUAUUGUGUUUGAGUUUGUCUGGUCAUCUGGUGACUGGGGUCAUCGAUGAGUCUACUUGGCUAGACUUGGUGGAGCAGUUUUGUGGCAGGCGGCCAUCAGAUGCUGAAGUUAAAGGCACCAAGUAAGUUCAUAUUUGAGUCCCAUUGAAAUUACUAAUACAUCUAUAUUGGUUUACUUGUAAGUUCAUAUUUGAGUCCCAUUUUAGAUACAUCUAUAUUUAUAGAAUAAUGGUUUACAUGUAAUUGCAGGAAGACAUCAGGAGUGUCGACGUCUUGGAUUACCAGAACUUUGGUGCAGGACCACCGCCUGAUGCUCCAGAUCAUGAGGUGGAGAUGUAUGCAAAGGUGUGGUUGUGGCACUUCUUGGGGGGUUUCUUGUUCCCUGAUUCCUCAGGAGAUAGCAUCAGCUGGAUUUUCCUGAGGAUCCUUAUGCAGCCACUGGAGAACAUUGUCGGCUACAGUUGGGGUACCGCGGUCCUUGCAUGGACAUACCGUCAGCUUUGCCAGGCCUGUCAUCGCCAGUCAUCGAAUGGAAACCUAGGUGGCUGCUCAUAUCUACUUUAGGUUUGGAUUUGGGAGCGUUUUCCAGUUGGAAGGCCCACUAAACCUUCGGGUUUGCCUGUAAGUGCAUUGGCUAUUUCGAUUUCUUCAUAACACUUAAGGCAUUUGUGACACUAUGUUUGUGUUAAUUGCAGGUAUGGGUGCAUGAAGAUGUUGGACCCACCGCCCUUUUUCUCUCGACAGAUGCUAAGGUAGUCAGGGGCGAACCAGACAGGAGGUACAGGCAGUACACUGACGAGCUAGACGUGUUGACACACAACUACAUAAGUUCAAUUCACUUUUAGUACUAAAUACACUAUUAAUGCGUUUUAUUUUGAAAUACUAAAAAUAAGUUUGCAAAUUUUGCAGGUCACAUGGACACCAUGGUCCCAGUGGGAGCUAGAGGGGUACCUUAGUCCACGCUGCGAGGAGGAGGAUAGCGAUUGGCUUUACGAUGGCCCACUGAUCUUCUUCCACGUGGUCGAGAUGCACUACCCUUGCAGGGUUUACAGACAGUUCGGGAGGCUGCAGGGGAUUCCACCGCUGUAUUCCACCAAUGGUGAGCUGCAUAGGUAUGAUGGCACUUUGUUUGUUACCAUUAAGUGGCUCAUUGCUAAUGCAAAUAUAUUUUUGCAGGAUUGAUCGUAGGUUUUGGUCCACGCAAAAGGAUUGGGCGGUCAGACACGAAGCACAUUUGCAGACUUGGUAUCACAGGCAGGUUCCCCUCCUCAACGCACUACCACCGCACGACCCGGCCAGAUGGAUGGAGUACCUACAGUGGCUGCACCAGAGUACAAGGACUCAUCUCAUGGUCCCGUACACCAACACCCCUGCAGAUGAGGGUGGUGAGGAUGACAUCGCCGAUGCGUUCGACGAGGCACAAAGGGUUGACAAACAGGUUCUUAGGGCCCCCUUAAAUAGAUGUGUGGUAAGUACCUUGGAAUUUUAGGUAUUAUUUGAUGUUUAUGGCACAACAGUUGUCCAAAUGAUCGAGUUAAUCUUGUGUGUGAUGUUGUAGUCACAACAGUUGUCUAACUACUCUGAGGAAGCUAAUAGGCAUCUGUUCCGGACUAAAGACGACAAGAGCAACCCUCUUCGCAGCUUUGUCAAGGUACUUUCGACAAAAUAAUUCAUUAUUACAAAGCAAUUGCAACUCAAUAAUGCUUGUUGUCAUUUUAUCCUGUAGAAAAUCAAAAAGGGCUGCAAGAAGUUAGCGGCUAAGCUGAGCUGUGCAGACACGACAUAUGAGCCUCCUUUGCACCCCAUGUUGUCUAGGAGCCAGACAGCCUCGAUGUCCACCAGAGCUGCUUCGGCUAGGGCCGCUUCCUCCUCUGUACGUACUCUGCAGUACACAGGGAAGGGUCCAGCGGACGUGGGUGAUGAGGACGAGGCCCUUUAGUACUCCACGACUAGUGGUGAUGACGACGACGAGUUACAGUGGCAGUUCACCGGUCACGAGGAGAUGGGUACCUCACAGCUAGGCGGUCCUCCUAUUGGUACACAGGGGGUGGAGUACACACAGGAGGAGUACACACACGUCGAGCACCAGGUGCCUAUGUUGUGCUUUUACUUUUCUAUAUUUGCAUGAUUCAGAAAUUAAAGUUGCUCAUUAGGGUGCUUGUUUGCAGGGUACUACGUCCACACAGGAGUUGGAGCGUGUCCAUAGGCGGCAGCGCGAGAGGCAGCGGCGAGACCGCACGGACGUGGGGUGGACAAGCAACGUGGUGCCUACCAAUCCCUCUAGUUCAUCUAGUUCUAGUUCUAGUUCUAGUUCAUCUAGUUCUAGUUCUAGUUCAUCUAGUUCUAGUUCUAAUCUAUAAAAUAGGGAGAGAGAAGAGGAGAGCGGAGGAGGAGCCGGAUCUGUCGGAUCUUCCUCAACAUUGUACCUUUGCAGCAACUGGUUCGUUCUUCAUCGUUCUCCAAGUUCUUCAAUUCAUAAUUCCUGAGUUCUUUAAUUACUUUUAUUUACAUUCAAGUUUUUUAUUAGAUUCCCGCUUGCAUCAAGUGCUCUAGUCUUUGAAACACUAGAUUAGUAAUAAAUAGAUUAGACAUGGUGUUUAGUCUUGCAAUUACCAGGAAUUGCACCCAAUCCUGCGGAUUGUUGUGGUAGCCCUAGGGUAGUGACAGCCCUAACGGUCGACGUAUUCCACCUCAUUCGAAUCAGUGUUUGUAGAACCGUAGUCUGAGCUUCCUAGCCCCCUUCUCAUCUCUUUGUGUGGUUAGUGUUCUGAUGUCCCGAAAUAAAUAAUCUUUGAAGUAAUUUUUGAUUCUUAGAUCAACUAGAGAACUCUCAGGAAACUUCCUCUCUUCGCACCAAAAAUAGUUAUAUAGUUAUCAUUGGGCGAUCUUGAAUCUUAAUUAGUACACUAACGUUCCCUGUGGAAAAUCGAUACUCUAGAAUACUCCCAGGUGAAAGCUACAUCGAUAUCCGUGCGCUUGCGGAUUUUUCUGUUUGCGUUUAAAAUACCCAACAAGCUUUCUGGCGCCGUUGCUGGGGAACGGUAGUUGUGCUAGUUUCGAACCAAGUCGUCCGUGUAUCCUUUUUAUUUUCCUUUUUUACCACACUCACCUUACCAUUUUCAUCAUACCACAUGGAUUUCACUCCAAACAUUAAUGAGCAUGGAAUUUAUUUCAUAGCCACUUCAUCUACUCCAUGCUCAUAUGCAACAUCUUCCCAAUCUAUUGGUCUCUCCAACAUCACCACAUUCGAGAUCUCCAACCCCCUCUUCCUUCCUAUUUAUAAAAACUUUAAAAGGGUGGUUGUCGAUGCAUAAGUUUAUCAUAAAUAUUGCAGAUCUCGUUGAGUCGAUCUUGAUAUAGGUCAGCGUUGGAGGGGAAACCACUUCGCCGACAUAAAUUGAUGGUUUCCCAAGGACAAGCUUAGUGUCCUAAAAUAAGCACUGAUCAGAUCGUAACAUGAGCUUUUAAUUAUUUGCAAUAUUAACUUGUGUAUUGAGCAUAUAAGGAUAAUUGUAAAAAAAAUUCCUUCAGGUAUUCUUGUCACUAACCUUUCUAGGAUUGGAGCAAGAAGAUCUGAUGAAUGACAAGCACAAGGUAUGUCCAACCAAUCAUCAUACAAUAUUGAAUUAAAUUCAUCCAAACUUGAAUUUUGCAAAAUUCAAGCUUGGGGGAGUACUUUACAUAAAAACAUCCCUUGUCAUGUUGCUAUGUGGGUUGUCCCUACCUUUGGGAUAUGCUCAAUUUGUUAAAUACUAAUCAGACUACUUCAUGUCCACUUGAGUAGAUCUAUAUAAAUGUUCUCAUGCUACCUUUAUUUGCUUUAGUAUAUGUCUAGGUUUGGAGUAGUUUCAUUUAUCUCUUAAUUAAGCAUGGUGCUUAGUUUAGGAAUGAUGAUCUUACUUCCAAGGGAUUAUAAAUUAAUCAUGGUGCUUUGGUUAAAAAGCCCUCCUAAAUCAAAUUAGACAUGGUGUCUAGGUUGAUUUUUGAGCCGAUAGUAUGCUAUAGUAGAUAUUGGAUAUUUUGUUAGACUAACCCCUGCAGGAAAACUUUCAAUAUCGACCUGGGAAGUCUUGAGAUAAACUCACAUUGGAGACAAAGAGAGAGACACAUGAAGUUUAACAAUUUAUACAAGGAAGGCAUAACUCACAAGAGAUGAUCCAUGGAGGGUGCCACAAACACGAUGCACAACCGCUAAGAAAGGAAAGCUUCCACAAGGUGAUACUGUACCAUCACUCUUCAAGUAAGGUAACAUCUUAAGGUACAUGACUAUCACUUUUAUAAGCUUCUCCUUGGUUCUGGCGUUCACUUGAAUAAAAGAGACAAACAUGUAUGAUUUACAACUCUAGAUUAACCAACCCAAUCGAUUCAAUAUGUUUAGUCUUUCCACCAUUGUGAUCCCACACUCCUAAUCAUAUGAGCUAAAAUGUUGCACACGCAAUCUUUGGAAGAUAUAUAUAUAAAAACAUAAGCAUAGAUAGAUUAUCUUUCCAUUAGGUUGAGCGAUCUGAUCUGACAAAUGUUUUAAAUGCUACACUCAUGAUCUUAUUAUCCAUCAACUUUGUCUUGCUCACUAUGCUUAAGGUUAGAAAAGAACAAAUACACUUUUGGUUCUGUUGGUGUUUUCCACCAACAGGGCCCAUGCACUUGAACUCUGCCUUGUCUCUAUGAGCAGGUACACUUCGAGCAAAAUAUGAAGGAGUUUUACAACUCCCAGACUCCACCAAGUGAAGAACCUGGAUCUACGAGCACAAACACAUUGGAGAUACUGGACACUCAGGCAAUCACUGCCCUGAGAUGCUUGAGGACGUAAACUACAUCAACAACAACAACAACAACUACUACUACUACUACUACUACAACCGUCCUCAACAAAAUCAAGGUUGGAAUCAACAAAGGCCUAACUACUCAGGUAAUUAUCAAGGUAAUAAUUCUUACAAUAAUAAUAAUAAUUUUUUACCUAUGAGAGAGUUAGUGUCUAAUCAAGGAAAGCUAAUGGAUAACCUAUCUAAGAAAUUGGCAUCUAAUGAUAAAAUGUUAGAAAAUAUAAAUAAUAGAAUGAAUUAUUUCUCUACUGCCAUCAAGAAUCAAAUUAGCUUUAAUAAAAUGAUUGAAUCUCAGUUAAAUCAAAUAGUUGCUACUGUUCCUGCUACUAACCCCGGUAUACCGUCACAACCGGAAGGACUAGAAUCUACAAAUCUUGUAGACAUGUUUGAUGCAGGUAACUACUGGAGUAACCCCAUUGUGGAAGUAAUUACUGACCUUCUGCCGGUCAAGAGAGGCGAUCCAGGAUGCCCCGUCAUCUCGAUCUCCAUCGGCAUGGUGGACUUCCCAGAAGCACUCUGCGACUUUGGCUCCAGCGUCAACAUUAUGCCUAGGGUACUCUAUGAAAAAUUCUUUACACAUCCUUUACUAGAAACAACCAUGUGUUUGCAGCUUGUAGAUCGGACACUAAGUUUCCCAAAGGGAAUAUUGAAGAACCUCUACGUCCAAGUUGUUAUGCCCCAGCAGACUUCGUGGUGAUAGAGACUGGUACUGAUGAGAGGGCACCCAUCAUCCUAGGGAGGCCAUUCCUGAACACCUCGGGAGCUGUCAUCUACGCUAGUGCUGCCAAGAUCAGUUUCUACAUGAAUGGGAGGAAGGUGACGUUUUCCUUCAAGAACAAGACUUCAUAAAUCUCAGAGCAAUCCCGACAUGAACCAAGGAAGAGGACCAACAGGAGGAAGAGGAACAAGCAAAUGUGGACCGAGUCAGCUAAGAUGGUCACUGCAGUUCAAGGAGGUCAAGAUCGUCGACUUAAGUCACCGUUCCUGACCAUAAAGGACGACCCAGGUAUGCCAAGCAUCCAGUGCUCCAUUAAUGGAUACAACUUCCAGAAGACGCUCUGCAACACCGGGUCGGGCGUCAACAUAAUGGCCGCAGUCACCUAUCAGCUCCUGUUCGGAACCAUGUCCCUAAAACCGACAUACAUUCAGCUCCAGAUGGCAGAUAAGACAUUCCGAAAGGUUGAAGGUAUAGUAACUGAUGUCCCUGUCAAAAUAGACGAUCAUUUUGUCCAUACAGAUUUUCAGGUUAUUGACAUGGGAGAAGACGAGUACGAUCCACCCAUCAUCCUUGGGAGACCGUUGCUCAGCACCGUUAAAGCAAUCAUCUACAUUGGAAACGGAGAAGUCCACAUGCACUUCCCCUCUGAGAAGGUACGCCGCUAUUUUACUAACCCUAACUAUAUAGUUGAAGACUCUAAGCAGGUCAGGACAAGAAGAAGAUGACGCAACCGCAACUAGAGGAGGCAAAUCAUCAAGGACGGAUGGGCAGACUACGAAGGAGAAGUGGUAAGGUCUGAAGACAUACAGCUUGAACAGAACUAUCUUGAGGAGACCGUAGCACCGAGUCAGGUGUGGAGAGAGAAGAUAGUUAUACAAGUAGAGGAGGCACCGUCGAAACCACCGUCUACGCCAUCCAGCGAAUCCCAGGACGACUGGGAAAACGGAGAGUCCUGUUCGGAGGACUUAAAAAUACCGAACGCCUUGCCAAGAGGUAAACUUGGUAGUUAUCAUUUUUCCUUUCAACUAUUUAAAAUAGUUUGCUUAGUUAAUCAGGUUCAUAUCAUCUUGAAAAGAAAAUAAAAAUGCUAAAAAUAGUAAGCCCCAUGGAGUAUGCUCAUGGCAUAAAACCCAUAAGUACAUUCAUUGUGGUGGCAUAAAAAUAAAAUAAAUAUAUUCCUGUCAUAUGAAAAUGAAAAUAUAACAAUAAAUUUAUGAUCCUACCAAAGAGUGUAACAUUUAUUAAGGAGGCUCAACAUGAUAAAGUGUAACAUCCCUGAUGUUACGAACACUAAAACUGGAUCAUGUCAUCAUAAGCAUUGCAAAGCAUAUUUGUUCAGCACAUCAUUAUGCAUCAACUUAAAAAUAAGUUUAUUUUGGUUGAUUGUGCUUAGGGAAUUAAAGUGUGUUUAUCAUGCUUGUGAUGGUUGUUUAAUCCCUAGUUAAGGAGGGUGGUAAGGGAAUAGCUAAGAAAAACCCCUAAUUUCAACCCCAGUUUUUACCACCUUUUGUGUAACUUAAAAACUAAGCAAAAUUUGGGGAUGAGUUCAAAAGAAAAGUUGUAGAUAUUAUCAAGGUGUACAACUUUGGUGUUUUGAGUUUUUGAAGUUUCAGUACAAAAUUCAAAGUAAUUUUGAAAAUAGAGAUUUCCAGAAAUUUUCUCCUUUUCCAAUUUGAAUCCCCAAUUCAAAAUCUAUUUGGAAUCUUGAAAAGUGGCCAACAUAAAAGUUGUAGAUCUCAAAAAGUUAAACAACUUUUAUGUUGGAAAUUUUAAGUUGUUUUAGAAAAUCAAAAGUAAUUUUGGAAUUUCUAAUCUGCCCCAAUUCAAAAUUGGAAUUUUUCCCAAUUUGAGAUUUGAAUUUCAAAAUGUUUGGCUCAAAUUCGUCCAUUUCCAUUUAAAAUCAGCCUUGGACCCUUAAAGAUGUUUUGUAGCAUUCAAAAUUCUGAACAAGUUUUAUUUUAGCAGAAAUUUGACUUCAGUUCAAUUUUUGAGAGUAAUUUGCAAAAGACAGGGAAGGGAGGGAUAGAGCUUGCUACAGUAUCCGGAUAUGGAUCACGAGUCCAGUCACCGCGCGGCCGCAGGCCAUGCAGCGCCGCGCGCGCCUCGCCGCCACGCAGCUACUUGCCGGCCGCGUCACCACGCGACGUGGACGCCCGCGACCCCUCCGCUUCGUCCUUUUGAAUGCCCACGCGGCCGACUUCGAGUUCCUCUGUUUUCGACGGCCAAAACCACCGGCGACCACUCCCUUCGCAAAUACACCAUACUCGAUCCCUCCCCAACUCAAUUGAGCCUUCCACCACUUUCGCCGCACUCUUGCGAACCCAGAGCGCUCCCUAGCACGCCCUCUAACCCGCCCAAUCGCUGGAGCUUCUUCUUCUUCCCCAACUCCGGCCGAAAGCGCCGCCGUGGGCGCUUCACGUGGCCAGCCCUCCUCCGUGCUUCUCCACCAGUUCUGAGCAGCUUGACGAAGUCGUGCUGAGCCCCUGAUGCUCCCCAACUCGUCCCCUCGCCUUCCCGGCGGCCGGAGCGCCAAGUUUUCCCCUAGCCCCGUCCAGAGCUCCGCCAGUGCCGCUGUUCACGUGGCCAUGCCUCCACAGACCACCUCUGGCCAAGUAGAGGGAACCAGAGGGUGUGCGUGAGUCCAAGUGAACUCCCCCGCUGCUCCACUGCCGCCGACGAGCACCCCAACGUCGAAACUGCGAUCUCCGUUUUCAGUUCGCGGCCAGGGACUUCGCGCGACAAUUUGAUGUUCUCCAGGGAUCUAAUUGCACAGACUGUGACUCAGGUGAAUAGUGCUAUAAGGACUUGUUUGUAGAUGUUUUGUUGAAUCUUUGAAAAUUCAUAUCUGGAGUUUGGUAACUCCAAUUUUGGUGAACCAAAUUUUGUUGUGCUCCUUAGGAUGUCUAGUUUUUAUUAAAAAUAUGAAACUGACCAUGUUUUGUAGUAAAAUAAUUAGUUAUGAUUUAUGCCUUUUAAUUAUGUUUCAAAAGGAGAAAUUCAUAUCUCAUUCUGUAUAGCUCCUAUUUCUCUGAAAUUUUUAUGGUGUUCUCGUGAUGUUAUGUGAGUGUUGCAGUAAAAAUUUCAUGUUCAGUAGAUGACAUAUGGUUAUGUUAUUGAUUUAUCUUGUGUAGUGCUUAUUAAAUAGUUCACAAUUAAACUAAAAAUGAAUAAAUGUAAAAUAAAGUUCCUCUGCCUUUAUAUGAGGUUGUUAUAACAUAUAGAUACAUACUUUAGCUAUGUGUUUGUAUAAAAUGUUGAGUUUCUUAUUUAUCUUGCCGUUACAUGCUUCCUUGUGAUGGAAAUUUAUCUUUUUCAUGAAAAUUGCUAUACUUAUCCAAAUGGCAUGAAACUUAUACAGUAGACUUUGGAGAGCAUAUAUGAGCUGCUGUAGUUUUCUCAGAAUUUACGGUGUACUUUUGAUAUAUGGUUAUUACUUUGUCUAUUUACCUAAAUAAAUUAAUAAAGACAUGAAAGGAAUUUAUUUAGAGAUGACCAUGAUGUUUUCUAGUAUCUCUUUGAUGUAUUUCAACUAUUGGUGAGCUGGGUUUUGCCCAGGUCCAAGUUUGGAACAUAAAUGAAAUGUUAUUUGUCUAUAAUUAAAUUAUUAGUGAUUUCUGGAUCAGUUUCUGUAGUUGUGCAAUUUGGACCUACUAAACUUGUGAAUCAUGAUUUGAUGAUGAAAGAUAAAUUGUAGUAAUUUUCAUAAGCUUUCCAAAAUGUUAUGGAUCAUGACGUUUGGUGAUCUAGAACUCUGGUUAUAGAGGUAUAAAGCUUAAUGUCUGAUCCUGUCCAAAGUCUGGACAGAAUUGUUUAUUCAAGCUGUUUGGCUAUUUUAUCUUUUAAAUCAGUUCUCGAAGAUAAUAACAAAGUUGUAGAAAAAUUAUCUAAGCUUUCCAGAAAGUCUAAUAUCACCUUUAUUGGAUGUUUGGAUCUCUAAUUAUGGUUGAAUGAAGUUGUGUAUAUGCUGCUGUCCUGGUUAUGUGUGCAAAUAGAGUUGUUUGUUUUUAGCUAGCCUUUACUUAAAUAAUGAGUUGCUUAAUUUCCAAAUUAGAAUUUGAGUGCUUUUGGGAUUGUGUGAUGACCUGAGGUCAUUAUCUUUCAAUGACCUUUGGCACUUAAUUAUUGUUUGAUGUUAAUACUUAAUUACUGCCAUUAAUAUUUAAUUAAGGAUUGAUUAAGAUAAAUAGAAAACCUAAUCAUUUUAGGUUUUGUUUGAUCUUUGGGAUUGAUAGACAACCACUGGUUACCUGGCAUGAUAUGUUCCUUGGUUAUAGAUUAUUUCAUAUAAAUGAUCUUUGUUGCCUGAUAGCUACACAACCUUGCUUAAUGAAGAUGAUAAAAUUUGCUUAGUAAUAAUCUAUGCUUUGAUAACUAAGUUAGUUUGUUUCUAUACCGUGAAGGUAAGUUGUACUCGAGGUAGUUAUAAUUGUUAUUAUCAUCCAAGAACGUGUAACCUGUCUUUAUCAUGUCAUGAACAUCUCAUUGAUCAUGCAUAUGCACCUCUACGUGUAGACUACGCUCCGGAGGAAUCUAAUCCUCACUGGGUUGCUUCCGAGUUUGUGGAUCCAUCUGGUUUUGCUGAGUUGUCGGACUUCCCUUCCGGCCAAGGCAAGCCCCGGACAUAUCCUUGUAUUUUCAUAAAGUCAUUUAUAUCACUUGAGUUAAUAUGAUGCAUUAGGUGAAUAGGAGUUGAGUGAAUCCUAUUUGCUGCAUUACCUACCUUGGUGAUUCUUAUAUUAACCUUGAUACCUGUUUAUGAAAAUGCUUAGUAUGCUUAGUCCUGCUUAUUAGAUAGGUUUUCAAAUGAGAAAGUUUGAAGGGUUGUUGUGGAAUACUUUUGUGGUCAAUAAUGUUCAACUUGAGACCGGUCGGCGGACUUGCUUUAAGAAUGGAGUCUUAAAGUAGUGUCUCCAACUGUGUCGAUUAAGGACCGUUCCGUUGAUGGCCUGCUGUGUUUGAGACCUUUGAGUACAGCCCACAUGCGGUGGUAAGCCUUACCUAUAGCUAUUCCGAUACUUGAGAACGGCUAACCGCGCACUGGGAGUGGAGAGAUGGCGAGAGUAGCGUGUACCCACCUUACGGAUCUGAGAUGACCGGGAAACAUCUAGAUUGGCUGUAGGAUGGUGGUGUACUGUACUCUCGGGUGACGCUGGACCCGUUCUUGUAUGGGAGGAUCUAUAGAAACAGGUUGACAUAUGCAAGAUUAAGUUCUACAUAUGUCGUGUGGUACUGAAUCCCCAGCUGGGUCUAAUCGAUUCGAAUCGCCGUGUUUCCUCGGAUAUGGAGCCUCAAUCCUCACACCAUCAUCGUAGUAAUAAAUGGAUCUUUGGUAAGAGAAAGAGGUGGUAUGCUUAUGAAAGUUUGAUAAUAGUUUUGGUUAGUCAUAAAUGAUGAUCUUGAGUUAAAACUUGAAAGUAGGUUUACUCUUAGUAAGCUUUUAUGCAAAAGAAAUGCUUGAUCUUGAUAAAGCUUUACCUUAAAUCCCUAUAGCCUACAUACCUGAGUCUUCACCUCUUUUCUAGUCGGUUAAGUCUUGUUGAGUACUUUUGUACUCAGGGUUUUAUAACCCCUGUUGCAGGUGCUAACUUAGACUGCUAAUGGAGGUCAUGUCGGUGGGCGCGACAUGAUUUAUCCACCUCUUCUACCUUAGAAGCUUCACCUAAGAUGCUUCCGCUACUCUACACACCUUUUGGAAAUUUAGUUAAGUUUGUACUUCAUCAUAUGUUGUAAAUUAAGUAAUAAAUCUUCCGCACACUGAUGUAAGUUAUUUUUGAAACAAAUGUUGUAAUGUUGUGGUAACUCCAUGUUGAUCCUGUAUGAGUUAAAAUGUGGAUGAUUCGGGGUCCUCCGAGGGCACCCGACAGACUUCUUGAGUCAUUUGGAACUCGUGCACGUCGAUCAAAAGUCUUUGAGACAAUGAUGGGUGCAUGUGGGCCAAUUAAUUCAGGAGGUUCUGCCACAGAGUGGUAUCAGAGCUCAUACAUGGAUCUUCUACAACAUUACUAGUGAAAAACUUCAAAACGAAUUUACAAAUUAAUAGUUUUGAGGAUAACAACUUGUAAAUGCUCCUUAACUUUUCUUAUGCUUGCUGUCCGGGUUCUACGAAGACUUUCUGCUAACUCAAAUAGAAGACAUUGAAAGAGACUUCAAGUCUUUGGCAAGCCAAGUGAAGAAUCAAACCACAAUGCUUUGUCAAGAGUCUUGCAGCAUUCCGUCUGGAGCACUCUCGCCGUUGUAAAGACGUAUAGGCGAGCAUAUUGCAUAUCAUGCAUAACAUGACAAUAUAAUGAUACUUAAAAGCCCCUCCUUAUGCUUCAAAAACAGUUAUUAUUUGUUAUAGCUGUUUUAUUGAUGAAUCUCAUCAUGUACCAGGUUUCGUUAACUGAUUGAUAAUCUUUUACUCCAUAAGAUCCUAAUCCUUGAUUCAUUUGUUAUGCAUGUGACCUUCCUUGAUUUCAUCUAAUUCGUACACAUGCUACCUCCUUGAUGUCAUUUGUCAACAUUUCUGUUGAUUGAAUGUCACUAUGAUUGUGUCCUCUUAAGGUACCAUGACCCAUAACUUAGGUAACAACGCCGAAACCUGGGGUCUCCUAUGGCUCGCGACCAUAAGGAAAUACUGCCGGGCGCUCGCUGUUAUCAAAGUCUAUGAUCAUGAUCCCUUAUAGACCCACAACUUAGGUGAUCUCACUCUUUGGACCAUAUUAUGGGAAUCCAUGCCCAUAUCUCUUUGGAAUUACCUGAAGCCCCUGACUUGGAUAACCAACAUAGGUCAUUGAAAGCUAUGGUAACCGUACUCUAUAGUAGGUACCAUGAUCCGUGAUCACGUUAUAGCGUCGAACCUUGUAGUCUCCUGUGGACUGCAGCCAUAAGGAAAUACUACAGGGUGCUCGUUAAACAUCGGGAUCUCUGGUCAUGCUCCACUAUAAUCUACUGUUAGUGUGCUUUCAUUCUCCUUGGAAGCUCAUUUGGAGAUUCAUAUCUUCGUAUGAAUUCUCUAAAAUUCCUGAUUGAUUACAACUUCUUGUUGAUCUUAGUUGUAAUUCUCGGACCAAUCAUAAUUGUUGUAUGAACUUCUCAGAAGUUAAUGUGCUUGAUACAUUCCCUUUUCCAUUACAUAACCCCACGGGUUUUAGUACCCUGGAAAUCUCGGGACGAGAUUUCUUUAAGGGGGAAGGGCUGUAACAUCCCUGAUGUUACGAACACUAAAACUGGAUCAUGUCAUCAUAAGCAUUGCAAAGCAUAUUUGUUGAGCACAUCAUUAUGCAUCAACUUAAAAAUAAGUUUAUUUUGGUUGAUUGUGCUUAGGGAAUUAAAGUGUGUUUAUCAUGCUUGUGAUGGUUGUUUAAUCCCUAGUUAAGGAGGGUGGUAAGGGAAUAGCUAAGAAAAACCCCUAAUUUCAACCCCAGUUUUUACCUCCUUUUGUGUAACUUAAAAACUAAGCAAAAUUUGGGGAUGAGUUCAAAAGAAAAGUUGUAGAUAUUAUCAAGGUGUACAACUUUGGUGUUUUGAGUUUUUGAAGUUUCAGUAAAAAUUCAAAGUAAUUUUGAAAAUACAGAUUUCCAGAAAUUUUUCCCUUUUCCAAUUUGAAUCCCCAAUUCAAAAUCUAUUUGGAAUCUUGAAAAGUGGCCAACAUAAAAGUUGUAGAUCUCAAAAAGUUAAACAACUUUUAUGUUGGAAAUUUUAAGUUGUUUUAGAAAAUCAAAAGUAAUUUUGGAAUUUCUAAUCUGCCCCAAUUCAAAAUUGGAAUUUUUCCCAAUUUGAGAUUUGAAUUUCAAAAUGUUUGGCUCAAAUUCGUCCAUUUCCAUUUAAAAUCAGCCUUGGACCCUUAAAGAUGUUUUGUAGCAUUCAAAAUUCUGAACAAGUUUUAUUUUAGCAGAAAUUUGACUUCAGUUCAAUUUUUGAGAGUAAUUUGCAAAAGAUAGGGAAGGGAGGGAUAGAGCUUGCUACAGUAUCCGGAUAUGGAUCACGAGUCCAGUCACCGCGCGGCCGCAGGCCAUGCAGCGCCGCGCGCGCCUCGCCGCCACGCAGCUACUUGCCGGCCGCGUCACCACGCGACGUGGACGCCCGCGACCCCUCCGCUUCGUCCUUUUGAAUGCCCACGCGGCCGACUUCGAGUUCCUCUGUUUUCGACGGCCAAAACCACCGGCGACCACUCCCUUCGCAAAUACACCAUACUCGAUCCCUCCCCAACUCAAUUGAGCCUUCCACCACUUUCGCCGCACUCUUGCGAACCUAGAGCGCUCCCUAGCACGCCCUCUAACCCGCCCAAUCGCUGGAGCUUCUUCUUCUUCCCCAACUCCGGCCGAAAGCGCCGCCGUGGGCGCAUCACGUGGCCAGCCCUCCUCCGUGCUUCUCCACCAGUUCUGAGCAGCUUGACGAAGUCGUGCUGAGCCCCUGAUGCUCCCCAACUCGUCCCCUCGCCUUCCCGGCGGCCGGAGCGCCAAGUUUUCCCCUAGCCCCGUCCAGAGCUCCGCCAGUGCCGCUGUUCACGUGGCCAUGCCUCCACAGACCACCUCUGGCCAAGUAGAGGGAACCAGAGGGUGUGCGUGAGUCCAAGUGAACUCCCCCGCUGCUCCACUGCCGCCGACGAGCACCCCAACGUCAAAUCUGCGAUCUCCGGCGAGCUCCUUUGUUUUCAGUUCGCGGCCAGGGACUUCGCGCGACAAUUUGAUGUUCUCCAGGGGUCUAAUUGCACAGACUGUGACUCAGGUGAAUAGUGCUAUAAGGACUUGUUUGUAGAUGUUUUGUUGAAUCUUUGAAAAUUCAUAUCUGGAGUUUGGUAACUCCAAUUUUGGUGAACCAAAUUUUGUUGUGCUCCUUAGGAUGUCUAGUUUUUAUUAAAAAUAUGAAACUGACCAUGUUUUGUAGUAAAAUAAUUAGUUAUGAUUUAUGCCAUUUAAUUAUGUUUAAAAAGGAGAAAUUCAUAUCUCAUUCUGUAUAGCUCCUAUUUCUCUGAAAUGUUUAUGGUGUUCUCGUGAUGUUAUGUGAGUGUUGCAGUAAAAAUUUCAUGUUCAGUAGAUGAUAUAUGGUUAAGUUAUUGAUUUAUCUUGUGUAGUGCUUAUUAAAUAGUUCACAAUUAAACUAAAAAUGAAUAAAUGUAAAAUACAGUUCCUCUGCCUUUAUAUGAGGUUGUUAUAACAUAUAGAUACAUAAUUUAGCUAUGUGUUUGUAUAAAAUGUUGAGUUUCUUAUUUAUCUUGCCGUUACAUGCUUCCUUGUGAUGGAAAAUUAUCUUUUUCAUGAAAAUUGCUAUACUUAUCCAAAUGGCAUGAAACUUAUACAGUAGACUUUGGAGAGCAUAUAUGAGCUGCUGUAGUUUUCUCAGAAUUUACGGUGUACUUUUGAUAUAUGGUUAUUACUUUGUCUAUUUACCUAAAUAAAUUAAUAAAGACAUGAAAGGAAUUUAUUUAGAGAUGACCAUGAUGUUUUAUAGUAUCUCUUUGAUGUAUUUCAACUAUUGGUGAGCUGGGUUUUGCCCAGGUCCAAGUUUGGAACAUAAAUGAAAUGUUAUUUGUCUAUAAUUAAAUUAUUAGUGAUUUCUGGAUCAGUUUCUGUAGUUGUGCAAUUUCGACCUACUAAACUUGUGAAUCAUGAUUUGAUGAUGAAAGAUAAAUUGUAUUAAUUUUCAUAAGCUUUCCAAAAUGUUAUGGAUCAUGAUGUUUGGUGAUCUAGAACUCUGGUUAUAGAGGUAUAAAGCUUAAUGUCUGAUCCUGUCCAAAGUCUGGACAGAAUUGUUUAUUCAUGCUGUUUGGCUAUUUUAUCUUUUAAAUCAGUUCUCGAAGAUAAUAACAAAGUUGUAGAAAAUUAUCUAAGCUUUCCAGAAAGUCUAAUAUCACCUUUAUUGGAUGUUUGGAUCUCUAAUUAUGGUUGAAUGAAGUUGUGUAUAUGCUGCUGUCCUCGUUAUGUGUGCAAAUAGAGUUGUUUGUUUUUAGCUAGCCUUUACUUAAAUAAUGAGUUGCUUAAUUUCCAAAUUAGAAUUUGAGUGCUUUUGGGAUUGUGUGAUGACCUGAGGUCAUUAUCUUUCAAUGACCUUUGGCACUUAAUUAUUGUUUGAUGUUAAUACUUAAUUACUGCCAUUAAUAUUUAAUUAAGGAUUGAUUAAGAUAAAUAGAAAACCUAAUCAUUUUAGGUUUUGUUUGAUCUUUGGGAUUGAUUGACAACCAGUGGUUACCUAGCAUGAUAUGUUCCUUGGUUAUAGAUUAUUUCAUAUAAAUGAUCUUUGUUGCCUGAUAGCUACACAACCUUGCUUAAUGAAGAUGAUAAAAUUUGCUUAGUAAUAAUCUAUGCUUUGAUAACUAAGUUAGUUUGUUUCUAUACCGUGAAGGUAAGUUGUACUCGAGGUAGUUAUAAUUGUUAUUAUCAUCCAAGAACUUGUAACCUGUCUUUAUCAUGUCAUGAACAUCUCAUUGAUCAUGCAUAUGCACCUCUACGUGUAGACUACGCUCCGGAGGAAUCUAAUCCUCAGUGGGUUGCUUCCGAUUUUGUGGAUCCAUCUGGUUUUGCUGAGUUGUCGGACUUCCCUUCCGGCCAAGGCAAGCCCCGGACAUAUCCUUGUAUUUUCAUAAAGUCAUUUAUAUCACUUGAGUUAAUAUGAUGCAUUAGGUGAAUAGGAGUUGAGUGAAUCCUAUUUGCUGCAUUACCUACCUUGGUGAUUUUUAUAUUAACCUUGAUACCUGUUUAUGAAAAUGCUUAGUAUGCUUAGUCCUGCUUAUUAGAUAGGUUUUCAAAUGAGAAAGUUUGAAGGGUUGUUGUGGAAUACUUUUAUGGUCAAUAAUGUUCAACUUGAGACCGGUCGGCGGACUUGCUUUAAGAAUGGAGUCUUAAAGUAGUGUCUCCAACUGUGUCGAUUAAGGACCGUUCCGUUGAUGGCCUGCUGUGUUUGAGACCUUUGAGUACAGCCCACAUGCGGUGGUAAGCCUUACCUAUAGAUAUUGCGAUACUUGAGAACGGCUAACCGCGUACUGGGAGUGGAGAGAUGGCGAGAGUAGCGUGUACCCACCUUACGGAUCUGAGAUGACCGGGAAACAUCUAGAUUGGCUGUAGGAUGGUGGUGUACUGUACUCUCGGGUGACGCUGGACCCGUUCUUGUAUGGGAGGAUCUAUAGAAACAGGUUGACAUAUGCAAGAUUAAGUUCUACAUAUGUCGUGUGGUACUGAAUCCCCAGCUGGGUCUAAUCGAUUCGAAUCGCCGUGUUUCCUCGGAUAUGGAGCCUCAAUCCUCACACCAUCAUCGUAGUAAUAAAUGGAUCUUUGGUAAGAGAAAGAGGUGGUAUGCUUAUGAAAGUUUGAUAAUAGUUUUGGUUAGUCAUAAAUGAUGAUCUUGAGUUAAAACGUGAAAGUAGGUUUUACUCUUAGUAAGCUUUUAUGCAAAAGAAAUGCUUGAUCUUGAUAAAGCUUUACCUUAAAUCCCUAUAGCCUGCAUACCUGAGUCUUCACCUCUUUUCUAGUCGGUUAAGUCUUGUUGAGUACUUUUGUACUCAGGGUUUUAUAACCCCUGUUGCAGGUGCUGACUUAGACUGCUAAUGGAGGUCAUGUCGGUGGGCGCGACAUGAUUUAUCCACCUCUUCUACCUUAGAAGCUUCACCUAAGAUGCUUCCGCUACUCUACACACCUUUUGGAAAUUUAGUUAAGUUUGUACUUCAUCAUAUGUUGUAAAUUAAGUAAUAAAUCUUCCGCACACUGAUGUAAGUUAUUUUUGAAACAAAUGUUGUAAUGUUGUGGUAACUCCAUGUUGAUCGUGUAUGAGUUAAAAUGUGGAUGAUUCGGGGUCCUCCGAGGGCACCCGACAGACUUCUUGAGUCAUUUGGAACUCGUGCACGUUGAUCAAAAGUCUUUGAGACAAUGAUGGGUGCAUGUGGGCCAAUUAAUUCAGGAGGUUCUGCCACAUAAAGGCUAGAUAUUUAUGCUAACACUUAACUAGUUCCACAAAGCUUUGUUGUCUAUUUGAGCUCCACAUAAUUCAAGGAUCAAAGAAGACUAGCAGACAGAGGACAUCCUAAUCGCUGUCAGGGUGCUGCCGAUAUUCAAAUACACCUCCGCCACCUGCUAGCUACAUCAGAAGAAAUUACGUCAAAAUCCAGCUUGGGGGAGAGCACCCCCAUUUAUCCAGCUAAGUCUUCUACUCAUGUUUAUACUUUACUCAAAUAAUAAAAAGAUGCAUAAUCAUAAAAACCCAAAUAAAGAUUUUGUGCUUACAUAUAUAUAUAUAUAUAUCUUUGCUUAGUUUGCUAAAUAAAUAAAUAAAUAAAGUUUGCUAUGAACCCUCUGAUAAGCUCUCACAUGGAAAUGAUGAAUAGUUGCUCUGCCAUGACUAGUUCUCAAAAUUGAAAUCUCUCUCAAGUUUAGGCAUGACUGUUAUUAAUUAAGAUUUGCUCUAAACCUGAACUUGUGGGAAGAGUACUUGAUCUAAAGUCUAAGUCAUUAACGGAUACGAUAUGGGAAGGUUGAGCUGAUGUUUAUCUGUUCCUAUAGAUGCUAGAAUUCUAGAGAAUUUUAUCUUUGAAAAUCUUUAAAAUGUUGCAUGACAAGUUUCUGUAUGAUGAGAGUUUAAGAUCCUACCACAACCAUAUAUACAAGGUUAUUAGACUAUGAACAAUACAUUUACUUUUACUGUUUAUGAGCAUUGAGUGUGGUCAAGCUGUGUAGACCCUUAGGAGCUUGUCAUGUGGUUAUAAUCAAGAUUCACUUGCACGUUCACUCAUACAUGCUGCUUCUACUCCGGAAGUACGCAUCCACAUACAUCCACUCAUUUCCAUAUCCAGAUUCACCCAAAAUUAUUCUACUCCUAUCUAGUAGAGAAUAGUAAAAAACAUUAUCCUCUCUCUGUUAUUCCUCGUGAAAUAAAUGCUUGAGAUAUUUUGGUUACUACCACUUGCUACAUUAUUCCAGGAGGGUGAGUGCUCUGGAAAAAAGUGAAUACGAGAAAAUAAAAAGGGGCAAGUGCCCAAAACCUCGAAAAAAAAAGAAGAAAAAGUGAGACGAGAGGUAAAAAUCGACAAGUGUUUGACAGUAGAAUUAGGGGUACAAGAUACCCACAUGAGAGAAAAGAAAAAUAAAAUAUAGAGCAUCUCAUUCCCCUCAAAAGCCUCAAGUGCAAGGAAGGUAUGUACCCCCUCCAAAGAGCAAAAGUAGAAUUAGACUUUCACCAUUAUUUUCACCAUUAUCACCAUUCAUUCGCCACACAUGCACAUCUUGAUUUGACUUAUUGACUUGUUCUUCUAGAUCCAUGGUUUGACUAUGCAAUAAAUGUCUUGUAAGUAUGUAUUAGCUGUCUCCCACCUAUGAGCUCCAGAUAUCAAAACCUUAUUAGAGUAGGGUGAGAGAGAAGGUAAUGCCACUAUGCCUCGUACCAAAAAUACCACAUACUUUGAGAGAACGCAUACACCAUUACUGCCUUGGUAAGGAUCCAGAAAUACCACAAAAGAGAGACUAGAGAGAGUCAUAUAAGGAAUCUCUGCGUUUUAUUUGAAAAUCUGCAAAAACUCCAGAGCUAUAGUUAAUCGAAGAACAAGAGACAUGGCGCUUGACUAGAACAUUCUAUCUUUUAGCAAGCCCCAUGGUGGAAGGAAAAAUGAGUAAGUUUAAGUAUUAACAGUUUACCCUAACCCAGAGAUGAGAUUUUGUUUGAACGCAUGUGUACCUUUAAGGCAUGAAACCACUGCAGAAACUCUUGAGUUCAUCUUUGCUCAGGGGCGAGCAAAGGUUAAGCUUGGGGGAGCUUGUUGACGGUCCUUAAUGCUCACAUUUAACCGUCAACUAAUCAUUGAAAAGGAUCCAAAUGCAAUCGACACCUAGACUUAGGGUUUUAUCUGACAGAAUUCCACGAGUUUUGGUGUUUGUCUAUUUCUAUAGGGGGUUAUCAGGAAAUAUAGAGGAAAGGCCCACACGUCGGGUUUACAUAGAGAUGUUAACGUGUGCGCCAAUUUUCUAUCAUCUAGAAGACUCCAGAAGCCACAGGAACGAACGGGAGGCCGAGCGGGCCUUGGGGCAGGGCGCCCGCCCUCCCUCCUUGGGCGCCCGCCCUGCCCUGGUGACCAAUCAGGACAGGUCUCGUGGAUCGUGCUCCACCACCUUUGAGGAUCAAGGAAAACCGUGCGAUUAAGGUCAGUUUGAUCCGACGGCCCACGUUCGUUUGGAAGGGCUAUAUAAGCAGGCCCCUGGCCCCUGGAGAACAUACCUCUUCUACAGAAUCAAAGCUAGGGUUUCAAUUAUUCAUCCAAGUAGAGAGGAUCCCUCUAGUUCAUCUAGUUCUUGUUCUAGUUCAUCUAGUUCUAGUUCUAGUUAGUUCUAGUUGUAAUCUAUAAAAUAGGGAGAGAGAAGAGGAGAGCGGAGGAGCUGGAUCUGUCGGAUCUUUCUCAACAAUGUACCUUUGCAGCAACUGGUUCGUUCUUCAUCAUUCUCUAAGUUCUUCAAUUCAUAAUUCCUGAGUUCUUUAAUUACUUUUAUUUACAUUCAAGUUAUUUAUUGGAUUCCCGCUUGCAUCAAGCGCUCUAGUCUUUGAAACACUAGAGCAGUAAUUAAUAGAUUAGACGUGGUGUUUAGUCUUGCAAUUACCUAGAAUUGCACCAAAUCCUGUGGAUUGUUGUGGUAGCCCUAGGGUAGUGAUAGCCCUGACGGUCUGUUGACACCGUUUUUGGACAUGUAUCUUUUGACGCGUAUCUAGGGAUAGUAAAGUAUAAAUCGGCAGAUGAAGCAACGGUAACUAGUCUACAGGGAAGUUGCCGAUGAAGGUGGUUGCCGAUGAGGAAACAACUGAAUGUGACUAAGUCCAGAGGUGGUGACGUGUUCGUGCCGAUGACCGGUAUCAAUGUUUGCCGAUGGCCACAACAGGAGGUCUGCCGAUGGCUCUGAAGGAAAGCGUGGAGGUUGCCGAUUGAUCUGUGGCGGUGCCCCGGUCGGCUACAAGGGGGUAGUUUUAUGUUUUCCUUAGUUAUUAGAAUUCGUUUUGUGUACGGGUUCCGUUUAGUUUGGAAUUCGAGUCCUAGUCGUGUCUGGUUGUAGCUCUUCGGACAGGGUAUAAAUGUAGACCCUAGAGCAAUGUAAUGAGACAAUCUAUCAAUCAAUCAAACAUAAGUUUUUACUCAUAUUCCAGCAUCUACUUUUUCGAUGACUUCAUCAUAUUUUCUUUUUACUACGAGUUCUUAGGAAUCCGUCGACUUAUGCUCGGCGUGUUCUCAAGUUCCACGUGAACACCUCUUGGCCGUGACAUCCGGGCGCAUCGCUGUUGUGAGGACCAAAGUGUUCGAGUUACCACCUUUGCCGAUUGUAAGGUCAAAUCGGCUGGCACGCCUUAACAUUUGAAUCGGGUAUUAGCCCUUUGUGUUUGCAGAUUAGCUUUUGCACCAACACAUCUUUUGGCACGCCCGGUGGGGUAGAUUCAAGAUCAAGAUCAAUAUGGCGAAUACUGAGUUCGAUUUGGAGAACGUCAUCCCCGUGACGGAAGCCAAUCUCAGAGAUGAGCAGAAGCAAGCUAUUGCAAAAGCCAUGGAGGACUACAAGCAACAAUGUUUGAAAUCCUUCAACAUCAAUAGGAGUGGCGAGGUGAUCCAGAAGGAAGCAUUACCGGCACCUCGGUAGAUUACUUUUGAAGCCAAUCCUGGUAAACUUCAAGACAUGGUUGACAAUGCUAUUAACCGUGCCUUGAUCAAUCAAGCUGGUGUGUUGUCCAACACGGUUUUCAAUGCUGUGGCUAGAACUUUUAAGGAAGGACAAUUGCCAAUAAAUUACGUGGGCCCUGCCUAUCAUCAGCCAAGAUCACCGGUGGUCACAGCUCCAUCGGCUACCACGGCCGCUGUGGGCACGGAAACUACAGCUCCUCCAAGCACAUUAGGGAUCACUAAUGUGCAGUCUACACCGAUGACGACCAAUCCAUCAACAUUGGAUGAGCAAAUCAAACUUGCCACAGAUCUAUUGGCAUCGGCAAUGUCGGGAUCUAUUCCUCCUAAUUAGUGGGGUUACGGUAUGCCCCCUGAGAUGAUGUUGAAGACUCCUAGAACAACUCAAGUGGCUGACUUGGCAGGCAAGGCUCCUAUGGCAUCGGCACCUCCAAAUCCGCCGAUGAAUCAGAGUCCCCAGUAUACCACAACUACUACUGCAAGACCUUACACUGGGAAUUCUCAAGUUCCAACGUUCCAGAUGCCUAACGCAUCGGCAGAUUCAAUGCCGACGUAGCAGAGGUUUAUGACACAGCCAGGGUAUGUCAAUUCAAUGAUGAUGCCCAAUUUCCAGCCAUCGCCAGGGUUUAUGCCGAUGAAUGCUAACAGUGGAUGGACGGGACAGUUAGUCUUUCCACAGAUGCCUCAGCAGAAUCAUCAGACUGUAGGGUUUCAACAGGGACAAAUCCAACCUGGUUUUCAGAAUCAAGGAUUGGUUAACCAGCCAAUGAAUAUUGGUCAGCAGAUUGGUGGUCAGGUGAUUAACCCCAUAUUCCAUGCAGAUCGUGCACCCUAGAGACACGUGGAAGCAUAUCAGCAGGUGCCAGAUCCGCAACCACCUCAUCGGCAAGAUGCCGAUGCUUAUUGGGCCGAUAAGAUAGCUAAAGUAAUGAGAGAUCAAUUUGGGAUAAAACCCAACGUCAAUACUUACUCUUAUCGGACACCAUAUCCUCCCGCAUAUGACCUGAUUCCACUUCCAAAUCGGUACAAGGUACCGGACUUCACUAAGUUUUUUGGACAGGAUGAUACAUCGACUAUGGAGCAUGUCAAUAGGUUUAUCAUCCAGUGUGGGGAAGCUGCUAACAGAGAUGAGUUAAGGGUUCGUCUGUUCUCAUCAUCUUUAUCUGGAUCGGCUUUCACUUGGUUUAUUUCAUUACCUCCUAACUCAGUGAUCACUUGGGCCGAUCUAGAGAAGCAGUUCCACAAGUACUUCUUCUCUGGAGUUCAUGAGAAGAAAAUUACCGAUUUAGUCAGGUUGAAGCAACGCAAUGAUGAAUCGGUUGAAAGUUUUGUGCAGAGAUUGCGGGAGGUCAAGAAUAAAUGCUAUAGUCUGGUUCUAGACGAUCAGCAGUUAGCCGAUUUGGCUUUCUAGUGUCUGGUGCCACAUAUCAGAGACAAGUAUGCUUCUCAAGAGUUCGAGAGCCUAAGUCACUUGGUGCAGAGGAUUUUCGACUAGGAUAUCAAACCUUUCGAGCCCAAGAGAGCAUGGAAUAAAAAGGUGUCAUUUGUUUAUGAGGCAGCAAGCUCAGACUCUGAUGAGGAGCCAGUCAUCGGCUUGGCAGAAUGGGUGAAAAAUAAGAAGCCGAUGUCUUGCCCUUUUGGGCAUAAGGAGCCAGAGAAGUUUGCAUUUGACAUUACUAAGGCCGACAGGAUAUUUGACUUUCUACUUCAUGAAGGGCAAAUCAAGUUGUCGCCCAAUCAUGUAAUUCCAUAGGCUGAGGAAUUAAAGAAGAUGAAAUAUUGCAAGUGGCAUAACGCAACAUCUCACAACACAAAUGAGUGCAAGGUUUUCAGGCAACAGCUACAAUCGGCUUAGAAUCUAGAAGAAUCAAGUUUGACAAUUCCAAAGCUCAGAAGCCGAUGAAGAUCGAUCAACAUCCUUUCCCAACAAAUAUGUUGGAUUCUAAGGGAAAAACCAAGGUGUUGACGUCAGAAGCAGCUGAAAGGAGAGCAUCGGUGGAUCCGCAGCAUCAGAUUACUGCUGCCGAUGCUAAAGGAAAGGGUUUGAUCCAGGAAGGAACUAGAUCAGGAAGGCCUCCCCGAUCAAGCAUUGUGAUAACUCACAGAAGGCAUCGGGAGACUUGGCAGCAACGUGAGGAUCGGUAUCGGCGCCAGCAGGAGGAUUCUCGUCGGGAAGAAGAAAGACGCCGACAGGAGUGGAAUCGGCACACGGAUCACUGAAACUGCCCGUUCUUUAUCCAUUGUUGGGAGCAGAACAUUAAAUUGUCCACUAUUAGAGAUUACCCUGAAUGCAAUGGUUAUGAUCGGUAUGAUAGACCUAAUCGACAGUAUCAGAAUGAUGAUCAGCGAUUUAAUGGACCGAUUAGGGGGAGAGCUUCAGUUCAUGAUCGGGUAGGGGGCAGGCUCAGUGUGCGUGACAGACUUGGUGACCGUGUCGAAUAUUUUCCCUGGAACUAAGAGGAGCUUGAAGAGAUGGCAAAUGCUCGAGUUCCCGAUGAGUUCAUCUUUUGUAGGGAUGCCAAUACCUAUCGAGUGGAGUCAAUGGAAAAUCGUCACCCAUCGGUAAGGCAGCCACAACUUUCUCCAUGGUGUCCAGAAGGAUUGACUAGGACACAGAAAAGAAGGCUGCAGUGCGAAACACGAGAAAAGCUAAGCAAAGGCGAGAAUUCUGGCCAAUCUAAAGAUCAGCAGCAACCGGAUCCUAAGGGAAAGGGCCAUCGGCAGAUGUUAACAUGGUAUUUAUGUUGCCGAUGGAGUUCCUUGCACCGUCCGGUGAUGACGAGGAACUGGAUUUUUCUGACCAGAUAGCUCAGUUAGCUCUAGAUCCGAUGACGGCUAUCUUCGAAAAGCCUGCCGACAGUGAAAGGCAGUAUCUUAAGACUCUAUUCGUCAAAGGAAGGGUUGAUGUGCAGCCGAUGACCAAGAUACUUGUGGACGGUGGAGCUGCUAUCAAUAUUAUGCCAUAUGUAGUCUAUCGGAAACUUGGGAAAGGAGAUCAAGAUUUAACCAAGACCGAUAUGAUGCUAAAGGACUUUGAAGAAAAUGUGUCUCCGGUUAAAGGGGCAAUAUGUGUUGAGUUGACCAUCGGCAGCAAAACCUUACCGACAACAUUCUUCGUGAUCAGUGGAAAAGUUGCCUACAAUCUGCUACUGGGGAGAGACUGGAUCCAUGCCAAUUGUUGCAUCCCAUCAACAAUGGAUCAAUGCUUAGUCCAGUGGGUAGGUGACAAGAUUGAGAUUGUCCCAGGAGAUUCUUCUUAUGUCAUUGCAUCGGCAGAAGCAGACACUUAUGAAAGGACCAGGUGUAUCUCAGGGGAGAUUUGGGAGAAAAAUUUCCUCAAAGUUGCCGAUUAUGAAAUUCCACCGAUCCAAGCAGUCGGUUCUGAUGAAGAGUUUUAAUGGAUAGGUUCGCCGAUGAUGGAAAAUUAGGCCAGGGGUUUACAUUGGCCGAUGAUUUAGUAGAGGUAGAUAUAGGUAAUGGAGAUAAGCCUAGACCUACUUUUAUUAGCGCUAAGUUAAAUUCUGAGUGUAAGCAAUAGUUAACCAAUUUGCUAAAGGAAUAUAAAGAUUGCUUUGCUUGGGAUUAUACUGAGAUGCCUGGUUUAGACCGAUCAAUUGUUGAACAUCGGUUACCCAUCAAAUCUGGAUUUCGGCCACAUCAGCAGCCAGCUCGCUGAUGUAAUCCUAAUAUUCUUCCUGAUAUUAAAGCCGAAAUAACCAAGCUUAUCGAAACUAAAUUUAUUCGGCAAUGUCGGUAUGCCGAAUGGAUUUCCAAUGUUGUUCCAGUUUACAAGAAAAAUGGGAAGCUUCGAGUUUGCAUUGAUUUCAGGAAUCUCAAUAAAGCUACGCCGAUGGAUGGUUACCCAAUGCUAGUUGCCGAUUUGCUAGUUGAUGCUGCGGCUGGGCAUCGGAUCAUAAGCUUUAUGGAUGGCACUGCAGGAUAUAAUCAAAUAUUCAUGGCUGAAGAAGAUAUUCCAAAGACUGCGUUUAGAUGUCCUGGUCAUGUUGGGUUAUUUGAAUGGAUAGUCAUGACUUUUGGUUUGAAAAAUGCUGGUGCUACUUACAAGAGGGCUAUGAAUUUUAUCUUUCAUGAGUUCAUCGGCAAGCUGGUGGAAAUUUAUAUUGAUGAUGUGGUGGUUAAGUCUGGAGAUUUCACAAAGCAUCUUGCCGAUCUGCGGAAAGUGUUGGAAUGUACAAGGAAACAUGGUUUAAAGAUGAAUCCUAACAAAUGUGCAUUUGGCGUAUCGGCAGGGCAAUUUCUUGGUUUCAUAGUGCAUCAAAGGGGAAUUGAAAUUAGUAGGAGAUCUAUUGAUGCUAUCAACAAAAUAGUGGCUCCUACCAACAAAACUGAGCUCCAAUCUCUGAUCGGCAAAGUAAAUUUCAUCAGGCGAUUUAUUACCAACUUAUCUGGAAGAAUUCGUGCUUUUAGUCCUUUACUUAAAUUAAAAGUUGAUCAGGAAUUUAUAUGGGGAAAAGAGCAACAGUUGGCUCUAGAUGCAAUCAAGAAUUAUUUGACAAAUCCCCCAGUCUUAAUUCCACCUCAGCAAGGAAAGCCCUUUAGAUUAUAUUUGUCUACCGAUGGGAUGGUCAUCGGUUCGGCUUUAAUUCAAGAAUUUGAAGGGAAGGAGCGUGUGAUUUACUAUUUAAGUAGAAGAUUGAUUGAUGCUGAGACCAGGUAUUCGGCUAUUGAAAAAUUAUGUUUAUGCUUAUAUUUUUCAUGCAUUAAGUUGAGGCACUAUUUACUAUCGGCUGAAUGCACUGUUAUAUGCAAAGAUGAUGUGGUCCAACAUAUGCUAUCUAUGCCGAUUAUGAGUGGCAUCAUCGGUAAGUGGAUUUUGGCACUGUCGGAAUUCGAUCUGCGCUACGAAUCGGCUAAAGAGGUUAAAGGGCAGAUCAUGGCCGAUUUUGUGACUCAACAUCGGGGUAAAGUAGAGACUUUGGAGAUUGUACCUUGGACGCUCUUCUUUGAUGGAUCCACAUGUGACCGGGGGGCAGGAAUCAAGAUAAUAUUAAUUUCCCCUCAGGGAAGGAAGUAUGAGUUUUCUUUGCCGAUUGUUGCCAUAUCAACGAAUAAUCAAGCCGAGUAUCAAGCAUUGAUCAAAGGGUUAGAGUUGUUAAAAGAAGUUCAUGCUGAUGCUGUUGAAAUCUUCAGGAAUUCUAUACUGGUUAUAAAUCAAUUAGCUGGAAGUUAUGAAUGCCGAAGUGAAGUUUUGAUAACUUAUUACGAAAAGAGUAUGCAACUAUUAAGGGAAUUCAAAGAUUUUCGAUUAGAGCAUGUUCCUCGAUUGCAUAAUGAGGAGGCUAAUCGUUUGGCUCAGCAUGCCUCGGGCUAUCAACCCAUAUUAAAUACGGUAUCGGCAAUUAGUGCCGAUGAUUGGAGAAAAGAAAUUAUGAUUAUUUAAAGAAUCCAUCCAAGAAGGUUGAGAGGCGUGUUCGGUUUCAAGCUACCAAGUACGUGUUGACACUAACUAACACCACUUAGAUACUAGGUUGUCAUCCCUAGCAUGGCGCCAGAGUGUACAAAGGUAUUUAUAAAUGUAAAGGCUCUCUAGAAAAUAAUCUAUUCUAUCCGCAAGCGCACAGAUAAAACACCUCAUUGUAGCAUUUCACCAGGAUAAGUAUUCCAGGUAUCGUUAUUUAUAAUUUUGCUCAAGGGAUCUAAAGAAGAUGGAACUAAAUCAAGGGACAAAAUCUAUCAAGGCAUAGACUAGAGAUAAACUUGCAAGAACAUGAUUACUAAUGAGAAACUCGUCACACAGUCACAUACUUUAGCAGGGGGUAAACCAUAAAGAUAAUGAUAAUAAAGUAUAAGUUCAUGGGAUAAAGAGCACAGCGAUUAGAAAAUAAACUACUCCUCAUAUAUGUAGGUGAUGUCGGAUUAGCUAGAGAAUGGAUUCUAAGUUAUCUACUAACUACUAAGUCAUAAUCUACUCUAGUUAUCUACAAGAUCAUAUAUAGCAUAAAAGACUCUUCAUUCAUGUAUAAGGAACAUUGAUAAAGUAAAUCAGAGCAUCGCAUGACUUACUCCACAAUACCGGUUCUGCCUGUCCUAUCAACGGAGGGUGGACUAUAUAAGAAUCAACGAAGCUAUCACUAUCGCGAACUACCACACGACCCGGUCAAUAGGAUACAUUUGCAGAUAAAUAACAUCUAAGCACCACGCUCACAUGUGAUCUAUCACCUAACUCCCUCGCGACAAGAGCUAAGCGCUUUGCAAACUUAUACAUAAACUCAUUAUCAAUUAGAACUAUAUCAAAUAUAGAACUAGAGCAAACUAAGAGCAUAAUAAUUAGAGACAUAAUGCAAUUAGAACAAUAGAAUUAUAGAAAGAUAUGAAUAAUACCAAUCUUUAUUACCGAAGAUCCGAAUCCAGAGCGUAGUGCUCUACUUCUCUAAUUGCUAUCUAAUCAACCUCUAAACUUGAAGGAUUAGGGAGUAGCUAAUUCUAAUUCUCUGUGGGAGAGAAGCUCUAAACCCAAACUUUGAUGGCUACCUCUGAAUAAUGAUUUCUCCUCUCUCCUCCAGGGGCCAGGGGGUCUGGUUUUAUAGUCCCCUCAAGUGAACGUGGGCCGUCAGAUCAAACCGACAUAGAUUGUAUGGUUUAGAUUGAUCCUUUAGGUCGGUGGAGAGUUGUCCCGAAACAGAGUCCUGGUUGGCUUCCUGGCCAGGGCGGGCGCCCAAGGGGGGUGGGCGGCCGCCCAGCUCCCGAGCCCGAAUCGCGUCCCGUUCGUUCCCGUGGCUUCUGGAUCCUUCUAGAUUGAGGAAAAUUGCGCGGUACGUAAUUAUCUCGUUGUAAACAUGACAUGUGGGCCUUCUCUCCAUAUUUUCUGAUAAACCCCUGCAGAAAUAGAUAAACACCAAAACUCGUGGAAUUCUGUCAGAUAAAACCCUAAUUCUAGAUGUUUGUUUUAUAUUGAUCUUUUUUUCAUAUUUAUUUGAUUAUUAAUUUUAGUACUUAAGGACCGUCAACAAACUCCCCCAAGCUUACCCUUUGCUCGUCCCUAAGCAAACAGCUAAACUCAGAUGGAUCAGGAGUUGCUUCGAUGUUUUCUUUCCUGACAGGCACACAUGCUUUUACAUAAAAAUUCUUCCAGAUUAAAGUGAAGUGUUAUAGAGUUUAGUACCUGCACUUAAAUCUUAAGUAAUCAAAAGACAAAAUAGUUAAGUCAAGCACUAUCCCUCCUGUCUAUACUUCAUCUUUGUUCCAGAGUUUUUUUUUCAUAAGUUUUCAAAAUAAAACUCAGAGUUCCCAGCAAUGAUUCUCUCAAGUCUCUCUAUAUGUGGUAUUUGUGGAUCCUUACCAUGAUAUCACUUACCUAUAGCUAAUGGAAUAUUUAAGUCGAGCUCAUAGGAGUGAUAAACAGCUCAUACAUAUGUUGUCUAAUCGAGCCAUGGAUCCAAAGGAACUCAGCAUAUAAUUAAAUCAAGAUGUGCAUGUGUGAUGGAGUAAAUGAUAGUGAUGGUGAAAAUGCAUAACUGAUAAUAAAUUUUACUUCUCAUUGCUCCUCAUAUUGCUAUCUCUUUUCUUCUUUGAUCUUUGCUUUGGGAGAACAUGGGCUAUCUCUUUUUCUUCUUCUUUUUUUUUCAGGUGGGUAGUGGAUACCCCUAAUUCUACUGUCGGACACUUGUCCAUUUUUUCCGCUCAAGUGGGCAUCUUUGUACCCCUAAUUCUACUUCGGACACUUGUCUAUUUUUACCUCUCGUCUCACUCUUUUUCUUUCUUUUUCGAGGUUUCGGGCACUUGCCCCUUUUUAUUUCCUCGCAUAUUUUUGCAUAACCCAUGCCUCUUCUGUAUUGAAUCUUUUUAGAGAGAGAGAAUAACAAUAUUUGGGACAGUGAGUGAUAAUAUAUUUUUAGCAAUUUUAAUGAUUGAUGAUGAAUGCUGUGGUAGAUGUGUGCAAGUGAAUAUCUUAAUUUAACCACAUGAAAAGCUCCUAAGGGUCUACACAGCUCGAUCAAACUCAAUGUGAAUAUAGUGAAAGAUGUUAUAGCAAGUAUGGCUGUGGUAGGUAAUUUUGUUAUGCUAGGAACUCAUCAUGUGAUUUGUAAGUUUUCAAAAUAAAUCUCCAGAACUUAGUGUAGUAGAAACAGGAUAAACAGUAGCUCAACUUUAUAUCAUGCCUUUCUUUUACCUAGACUUUAGUUUUAUGCUUCCCAAAGAUAGUAAUUUUAGUUUUAGUAAUUCCUGGAAGAAUUCUAAUAUAAAAGCUAGGUACUUGUAAGUAAGCAAACAGAGCAAUUGUUCAUCAUUUCCAUCAUGCAUAUUUUUGGUCUUUUUAUUUUUUCUAGAGAUUAAACUUAGCAGAAAAAAAAUAAAGCACACUUAUCUACACACUCUUUUUGUUUUGUUUUCAUGUUUAUAAAGUACAGUAGAUUAAAGCA
rnacentral:lncRNA from 1 species